GUUUGUUCAAACCAAUAUUGUUGGGAGGGUUUGAUCCAACCAUAACCACCGAUGGAGGGAACCGUGGAGUAAUCUCCGCUGUCAAGGAAGUAAAGAUUGAGAACCGAUUUGUUUUCAAAACCAGAGCCCUCAACUCCGGCGACCUCUAGGUUAUAGUUCCCAAAACCAUCAAUAACAUCUUGGUCUAAAAGAUUAACUUGAGCCAAAGUGUUCUCCAACCCAACUAUGUGUUUCAUUACCCCUUCCCUCGAGAGGUCGGAUUCCUGAUCAUGGUUCCCCAACACAGCUGCCCACGGGAUGUUAGACGCGAUUGCUGGGGCGUAUACCUCGUUCAAAGAUUUAGCACCAUUCGUGGCAUCAAACCCGAAUAUGUUAUCUCCUGUUACACAAAGUUCAGAUUGGAGAAACAAUAAAAAAGCCGAGUAUCAUGGCUAAAUCAAAACUUUGCUAAACAAAAUCCAAUGAUCAUCAGCUAAAACGAUGUCCUAGCUAAACCAAAACCAAUGAUCAUCAGCUAAAUAGUGGACAAAACAUUCUGUUUUGCAUCAAUGUCAUUGUCUAUAAACAUCACCAACAAUGAUUGGGGGGGGGGGGGGGGACAAAUACCGGUGAAGACAAUGAGAUUCGGCUUCUCCGCCUCGAUCAUGCGGAGGACAAAGGCGAUGGUGUUGAGGUCAGAGCAAGUUGGAAACUGGGACGGCAGCACAUCCAAACAGGGCGUGGUCUUGCCAUCGGCAUAGUGCAUCCGCCACUUGCAGAAUCUUAAACUGCCCAUCUGUCCCAAACCUCAGCUUCUUCUCCCCACCUCCACCUUGUUGGUGGUGUUGUUGUUCUGCGGCGGCCAAACCUAUAUCGGAAGCAGCGCCACCCCCACCACCACCGCUAAAAAUGGACUCCUUACCACCUCCAUGUCCCUCUUCAUCCUCACUGUCACUGCACCACUCUCAUCUCCACACCAGAGGCACUGAACCACCAUUAUAAACUCACCAGUUGCACCAAGCAAAAACUCAGUUUUAACUUUUUCUCGGCAACCAAACAAAAAAUCAGUCUCAGUCUGACAAGAGUUUAAUAUUAAUAGUAAUCGUUUAAAUAAGAGAUGAUUUAAGAAAAUCCUACAUCCUUUCAAUUUCUAUGCCUAUAUUAUCUGUUCACUGUGUUAUUUGACUCUUUGUUAAAUAUCUGUCUGUGUAAUUAAUUAAGCACUAAUUACAAAAAAAGUGAUAGAUUUAGAAUCACUGUAAGCAAGGACGAAUCCACAUAAGGACCUGGGAGGUCCCAGGAUCCGUCGGCGAUCCUAAAUCACUGCUCGAAAUUUUCCGGGGACCUCUCGUACUCGAGCAUGAGGUCUGUGCAGGUUGUAGGUUGUAGGUUGCAGGUUGCAGUGGAUGUCUUCUUCUCAGAGAAGAUGACCGCGCACGGAGAAGAAAGAAAAUAGGGAUCAUUCCAGCCUCUCUCCUCCUUGCUUCUGCCAUGGUCUCAUCCAUCGGUGCCACCCACUUCUCCUCCAACCUUUCUUUGUCGUCUGGCGGGGCAUUACAUAAGCCCAAAUUUCUCCAAAUUAUUUCAACCACCUUAGUAAUUUUUCUUAUAGGUGAAAUUUCCUACAUAAGGUUAGUAAGAUGGAUAUAAUCUGUCAUGGGUUGAUGAAAUUUGGGGGUGGAGCUACCAUGGCUUAGGGAGAAUGGGGAGGGAGGUGGUUGGUGGAGUAUGACAGCUGUGUUCUUAGUGAGAGAGAAAGUGGAUGUUUGGAAACUAGUAAAAGAGAAAAAUGGUGUGUUUGGUUAGAAAGAUAGUGGGAGUUUGGGGAGAGUUUUAUUUGACCGGUGUUUUAAAUUUAGCGGUCCAUAUUAGAUAAUCAAUAACUUAGGUACUUCAUAGUAACUUAUGAAACCUCGUAAUGGACGCUUGAAUUAUGAUUUUAUAAUUUGUAAUAUUGUUUUGCAUAUGAUUUUUGAAUGAAAUGUAUUAUAUUUAAAUUUUCAAUGUUGUUUUUGUCGAUAAAUUUUUUGACCUUUAUUAUUGGGACCCCCCGAGUGUAAAAUCCUGGAUCCGUCACUGACUGUAAGCAUAUUCCCCAGCGGAUUAGAUACAAUCAUACAAGAUGUAGUGUCAUCAGUGCAGCUUUGUUAUUCGUAAACUCACACUUAGUUUUCUUAUCGCAAUAGAGUUUGAAGUAAACUCUUGUUUGUCCACAUGUACAAUAUGCCUAACUGUAUGAGGAAUAUACUAUUCACACACAUUUUUUUACUUCUUACAUAUUCUUUUUAUUUUUGACCUCGAAUCAGAUUCAAAUGACAGAAAUUAACUAAGAGUGUGUAAGAAUUAAAAAGAAGUGUGUGAAUAGCACACACCUCAACAAUAUGCAGUAACAACUAACACGCCAGCAUGUGUGCCAACCACACUAAAUAAAAAGGGGUAAUGCGAGGGCGACUAUUUUUUAGGUUUUAUUUUGUAAAUCGUAUAACACGGUUGUUCAUGAUUAGAUUAUAACUUAAGUGUUAAUUAAUGCGUUUAUUUUUUAUUUGUGACAUAUCACAUGAUUUGUAAAUGUGGUUUAAAAAAUUAGUCUACCCUAGUGGUAAAUGACGGAUUACGAGACUUCCUUAAAACUAAAAAUUAGAGGUCUUGGGUUUGAAGCUCGUUAUUGGUGUGGAAGCUAGACUUGUGGCCAGGGGGAAGGACCAGGAUCCUCGCCAAAUCCUUCUCUGCAUAUUAAAGAAAGUUAAGGUUCCACCAUAAAACUAAUUGGCAAUAUGGGGAGUAGGCCAACCUCUUAUAAGCCCAUGCAAGGUCUUUUUUCUCAUUAAUGUGGGAUUUAUUCUCAACACGCCCCCUCAUGUGCGGCGAAUUUUCAAGCCUAACACAUGAACAACACAACAAGAUGACGUGAAGCACGUGUGGCCGUUUGGCUUCACACUUGGGAUAACCUGCUCUGAUACCAUGAAGAAAGUUGAGGUUCUACCAUAAAACCAAUUGAGGAGUAGCACAACCUCUUAUAAGCCCAUGCAAGGUCUUUUUUCUCGGGAUUCAUUCUCAACAUGCCCUCUCAUGUGUGGCGAAUUUUCAAGUCUAACACGUGAACAACACAACGGGAUGACUUGAAGCGCAUGUGGCUGUUUGGCUUUACACGUGGAUAACCUACUUUGAUACCAUGAAGAAAGUUGAGAUUCCACCGUAAAACCAAUUGGCAAUAUGAGGAGUAACGCAACCCUUAUAAGUCCAUGCAAGGUCCCUUCACUCAUCAAUGUGAGAUUUAUUCUCAACAUACAAACAUACAGUGGGGAUCAAUCCAUCCGAACCGUUCAGCUCAUAUCCUACGGCCCAAGAUUAUUUUGAAUUUUUUUUUUCAGCGUCUCCAUUUCUCAUUUUCUCUCCCUUCGUCCCCAAACUCCUCGACAUUCUUUUUUCUUCUCCCAGUCCAAAAGGCAAAUAGGAAGGAUUAAUCAAAGAAUUAACCCAUCAAACAACCCAAAAGAGCAAAGACUUCUCAUAUACCCAAGAAUUAAUCCAUCAAUUUCCCAAAAACCACAAAUAAAAUCUUUAGCGUCUGCAGUGGUUUCAAGCUAGAAUAGGGGGAAAAUUAACGGAAAUGGAUUUGGGAAAAAUUUAAGAAUUCGAAUUUUACAAAUUGGUCCGAUAGGCAUAUCAUUCGGCCCGCUUCAUUUUCCCCUUCGAUCCCUCCGCCGGUGACCAAUCCAGUCUUCGUACACCAUCAUUGUCGGUGGCAGCAAGAGGGAGACGGGCCUGCUGGUAGCGAGGGCGAAGGUAACGAGUUCUGCGCUGUGCCUUUCCCUUCGUCCCCCAAACCUCUGCUGAGGAUUACUUGGUCGUGAGGGCAAGCUUGCAAGGGUUGACAGGUACUGAGUUGGGUGAGAGAGCAGGAAAGGAAAAAGAAGGAAGAGGCAGUGCUAGCGCCUUCUUUCCUCGGGACAUAAAUUGAAAAUAUUAGAGGUCGCACGAUUUGCAUCUGUUUUGAAUCAACGGCCACGAUGAUGUUGUUCGCUGGCUCUGUCUAGAAAACAUCUGGAUGGUAUCUGAGUCUCAAGGGAAGGGAUGAAUAACCAUGGUUUGCCACUAAUUGUCUCCCUUUUUAAAGAAAAAAAAAAUAUUACUCAUAAAACGUUUUAGAGUAGGAUUAUCUCCUUUCUUUUUUUGCCUCCCCUUCCCUCUCCUCCUAUUUGAACGGUCACGGUUAAGCCACACUAAUAUCUUGUAUUAAUUUUUUAUAGAAAGAUAAAUACAAAAUAAAGAAUGUGAGAGGAGAUGAUGAAAGGGGAUAGAAAUAGGAGGGUAGAUGAUCCUAGUCCAAACAUUUUAGAGAUAACAUUGAAUACAUAUAAUAAGUUAAUAAUUAAUGAGCAUGAGGUGUACCCACUACUCAUUGGGGGUAAAACAUGAAUGAAACAUUCACUCAAAGCUUGCUUAUGUAGCAAGUUAAUCAAAGAGUUAAGUUUGAAGAUAUACAAUUUUUGAGUUUUUACUAAAUACACUAUCAAAAUUGGACUAAAUUCAACUUUUCUAUACUAAAAUUACAUCUGCAGCACUCAGUACUAUGGUUUGUAGUAUUCUUUUCACUUGUAAGUGAGAGUCUUAUAUUCGAUUAUUGCCAAAGGAGAAUUUGAACAACAUUAUUAGCCCACUCCCAAACCUUUAUUAUAGAUCAUAUCGUUUGUUCAAACAACACUUAAUUUUUUUGUUUAAAUUGUUUUUUGAUAACCAAAUUUUUUUUUUAUGCCACGUGAUCAAAUUUGUGGGUCAUGUAUUUGUCACGUAAUCACUUAACAGUUUAACUAAUGAAUAUAUGAAAUUGUAACAAAAUAAAAGUUUGUAUAUGCGAUUGAAAUGUUUUAAAAUGUUGUAUGAGGUUACAAUUGCACUCAAAUUCGAAGAAGUAAAAUGCAAUUUACACAAAUAUAAAUGAUAAUACUAUUGUUAUCGUGGCAAAUUGAGCAAAGUAGCACCGAAGUGAUGUCGUUUAGUCAUCCUGUUUCCUAUUGGGAUAUCUAGAAUCCAGCAAUCGAAUUCGGACUUGAGCUCGAGUUUUUUGGCAAUUUGGGUUUUAUUUGUUGGUUGGUGAAUUACUGAAGCUGAUUUGAAUAGAAAAGAUUGAGAAUUUUGAGAGAAUCGAGCUUCCGAUUACUGCGGCGAUGUCGGGUCAAAUGCUAAAGAAAGUUUUGAAGGAACAAGAAGAAGAAGACCGACACGUAAUAGAAUCCGAAUCAGAAGGAGAAGCAGAAAGCCAGCAGCUCAAUGGAAAAGCUAAAAUCAAUCCCUUUGACCUCCUCAACGACGGCGGCGAUGACGACGACCACCAGGUUCACUUUUUUAAUUUAAUUCUUAUUUUUUUCUUUUUAGUGGAUUUAAGAAAAUGAAAGGAAUUCUAAUUUAAAUGGUAAAAUUUUGUUGAUUUUUGCGUUCAAUGUGCUGAGUCAUCAUCGAGCUGUGAUGGGUUGGUGUUGGAUACUGUAAAAGGUUUUCCUUUGGAUUUUUUAAAGGAAAAAUUAGUAUUCGGUACCUAGUUCUUAAUGUUUAUUAACUAAAACUUUAUUAGUUAUCAAAUUUUGAUUCAAGUCCCUAGCAUUAAUGUGAUAAUGAAUUUACAUGUUUAUUAAAUAAUUUUUAAAUAUAAAAAUUAGUAAUUAAUUUAAGAUUUAAUACUCACACCUCUAUUAAACUUCUAAUUAAUUUUCAAUUCAAACAUUUCCAAAAUAAUAAAAAAUUAAUUAAAUUAAGUUUGUACCUAUGAGUUUUUAUAUAUAUAUAAAAAGAUUCUCAAUUUUUAAUCUUAAAUGUACCCAUUCAUAUAAUUUUUCAAUUUUUUUUAAUCUUAAAUAUACCCAUUCUCAAAUAUAUCAAUUUGUUAUAUGUAAAAUGUACCCUUUUUAAAUAUAAAAUCCAUUCUAAUUUUUUAAUCCAUGUUUAAACUUAUAUGGAUAUAUUCUUUUUCGUUGAUUUGAGAAUGUAUCCAUGUAUUGGUACAAUAACUUUUUUUAUUAAUUUUGGUUAAUGUACCCAUACAUAUAUGUAUAUAUAUACACACACACAAUAUAAUAGAGAGUAUAAUUUAUAUUUUAUUAUUUUUAAUCCCAUAAAUUAUGGGUUUUAUUUAAAAUCUCAUUAAUAUAAACAAUUACAAAUUUCAAUUUUUAAUUUUUAAUUUAAAAAAUAUAGUAACUUACAUUAUUAUAUUAAUGUCAGGGACCUUAAUCAAAAACUAAAAACUAAUAAGGUUUCAAUCAAAGAAUAUUGAUGGCUAGGGACCGCAUCCAAAGUGUCCCUUUUUUAAAUAUAAAUCUCUUACGAGACUGAAAGUUUGAAACUGUAUCACUUGAGUUUGGUAACACCCAAGUGUAGCACCUUGUACAGGACAAACUGGUUGACGAUCAUGUGAAAUUAUGCAGUACUCUUUACUGAACUGUAUCACUUAAGGGUGUGAACAUUAUUUAUGCUCACAGCUUAGAGUUUGUCAGACUAGGAUUUAUGAUAUGUGAUCUCGCGUCCUUUUGGUGUCAUUUUGAUUCAUGCAUCAUCAUCUGGAUUUUGAUCGUACGUGCAGAUACGUACAUUCCUCAUCCUACAUGAUAUCAAUGGCAUUGCAAGUAUUUUGUUAUACAAUCCUUAUCAUUUGGAUUCGCUUAUAACCAUGGCAGAGUACUAUUAAGUUUUCGGGUGAACAUCAAAUAUCAGCACAACUUAUCUCGAAGUGCUUAUAUGCUUUGGAAUGUGCAUGGAAUCCAAUGUUCACACCCUUGCAGGGCAAUUGCCAACUAAAAUACAGCCAUGAAACAAACAAGCCUCUCUGUUCACGCUACUUUUUACUCGCAUGAGAAAUAUGGAUAGGCGUGGUUGCCAUCGAUCUGCUUUACAAGUUUGCAAGUUGUUACUUUCACUAGAUUCAGAUGAUCCAAUGGGAGCCAUGUUCUACGUUGACUAUUUUUCGUUGAGGGCAGAGGAGCAUGCAUGGCUAGAACGGUUCUCUGAAGAAUAUAAAAGUGAUAACUCCUUAUGGUUGUUUCCAAAUUUUUCAUAUUCCCUCGCCAUUUGCCAUUUCUAUCUUGAGAAGGAAGAAUCUUCAAAAGGUGCACCGGAAAAUGCCAAGUCUACUUCAGCUGAUCUUAUGAAAUAGGCAUUGAUGCUUCACCCGUCAGUCUUAAAAAGAUUAGUGGAAAAGGUACCUUUGAAGGACAAGGUGUGGGCGCGGAUACUCAAAAUCCGUAUUUUCAAGCAGAUCAAGUAGGAAUCCCAUCCUUGGAUCACCUAACAAACAUAUAUGUUGAGAGGAAUUUUCUUCUAUGGAGGCUCCCAGAUCCGCAUGAUUUGCUGAGGGAUGCUGCACAGCUUGUGACAGAGACACUAAGACAUAAUGGUAGCAAUAAGGACGAUUGGGCAUGCAUGAGAAAAGAAGCAUUCUCAUCCGAGAAAAACGAGUAAGUGUGCGGUAACAGUUUUGCAUUUCGGCUACUUCUUUCCUAGUAUUUUGUUUAUCACUGUUGCGUAAACUUACAAAGUUAUAUCUGCUUAUGUUAAGCCUGAAUUUGGUGGAAUGACUGACUGCUUGCUUGUUUGCUAUAGGUACGCCCACUUGUUAGUUUCAGAUUUCUCUGUCAGUGCCAGAGAUAAAGAACACAACCUUCCAAUACGAUGACCAAGGCGUGUUGUAAGGUUCUUUAAUACAAGCUCGGGCUCAUGACUGGUUGGAUUUCCAUGAUUCUGCAGGUAUAUCAAAUAAACAAUAAGGAAAACAAAAUAAAUAUACAUGUGUACACAUGUGCGCACACACGCAGAGACUAUAAAUCACAAUCUAACAGUGAGACUAUAAACUGUAGGAUUUAUUGUUGUAGUGUAUAUAAGUUUCUGAGUUUAUAUGUAUCCUCUUUUUUUUUUAAUUUGAAGAAGCUGAAAACUCUUCCGUGUAGCAUGUGUAAAGCAAAGAGGCUAGCAUCAAAGGUUAGUGUUGAGAUAUGAAAAACAGAAUGUGACCAACCUUGUAACAAUCUAAAAGUUUUUGUCAUCAGAAACAAAGCUUGAGGGAGCACUAGUAACACAACAAUACUAUAGAACCCUUCAAAACGAGACAGAACCAACCUGGUUCCCUGCGAUUGGUGUGCACAACAAUUAGAGAAGUGAAGUCUUUCUUAUUUGCAUACUCUACGAUCUGCAACCAAAGCCAGAAAACAUACAUAUAUAAAUUGUUCGAAUUUAACGAUCCGCAUAUUGAAAAGAGGAGGGGGAGGGAGGGAAUUCCGAAAGAAAGCACCUUUUUCAAGUCAUAUGUUCCUCUUUUAUAGUAGGUUGCAUUUGGGAUCACGGAAGGUAGUUCCUUUAUAAACUCAGGCCCCCUCUGCAGACCCGAAAGACAAAAAACCGUAAACCAAAUAUAACCUAAACAAAGAAAUUCCCUUACCACAUCAAAUACGGAAUGCUGUAAAAAAUCAGGGGAGAUGGAAUGUACAUACAGAAGAAUUGAAACGGCAAGUAAUAUCUUUGGAUUCAAUUCGCACUUUAAAAUCGAACUGAAUUCAUCGGCAUCAUUUCCAGCAAACAGCUGCAAUCCAACACACAACACAAAGCCGAAAUUAACCAAACCAUCAUUCAAUUUUCCACGCAUAAAAAACAAAUCUUUUCACAUUUGCAACAUUGUAAGCCAGUCAAGCACAAUCAAAAGGUGCAAAAACGAACCUCUUCGUCGUCGGGCUUACAAACAGUCUCAUCGACUUCCCUGGUGUUCUUAAUCGUCUUCGGGAUCUUCUUUGCCGGGGGCUACAGAGCGCAAUUAACAACACUAAUUAGCUAAUCAUACCAAAAUUAAACAUCAAUUAACAAUUAAAAUACCAAUUUAUCAGUUCAUAAAUUCACAAUUGGCAUAAUUACCUCCUCGCCGAGCUCGAGAGCACGCUUCUCAGCAGCGUCACGGGCCUUGGCCUUCUUGCGCUUCUCGAGCUUCUUCUGCUGCUUGAGCUUGGCGUGGACCGCCGACCUCUUCUCCUUGUUCUUUAUCAUCGACGGCAGAAUCUCCAUCUUCCUCUCCGGCGGUGGUUCUUCUCCUCCUCCGUCGCUUUCGCUUCGCUUCCUCCUGUUAUUAUUGCCUCCCAUUCUCGCAAUUGCUCAAUCGAGAUACCGCAGGUAGCUGAUAGCUCAGAUCACCUUCUUCAAUCUCGCGUUAGGAUUUUUGCUCGGCCACAGUAAAAGCCACCAGGGUUUAUCUAGUUAUUGCCUGCUCCUCCCCGCACCGUAUUUCGCUCGUGUUUUAAACUUUUCACCUUUUAAACCAGUAAUUUGCAAUUUUAUUUUGGGAGUUUUAACAAAACAUUUCUAGUCCUGUUCAUUUUUAAUGAAAAAUUACAUUUAUAUAUUUUUCUGGUAUUAUUUAUUAUAUCUUUAAAAAGGGUUUUUCAUUAAAAAUAAAGUUUUUUUGGAUUUUUUGCUAGUUUCCCUUUUUAUUUUACUUUUGUUUUGUUUUGGGUAAUGCGAAAUAAAUAAAAUUUACAAACCAAAUGAUAUGUUAUUAAUAGAAAUAAGUACGUUAAUCAAAACUAAUAAUAAUCAUUAACCACAACGUUAUCUAGUUUAAAAAGAAUUGAUUUAAAAAUUUAAUCACACUAGCAUUGAACUUAUAAGUGGCUAUCAAUUUUUACUUUGCACUUUUAUUUUACCCAAUUUAUACCUCCAAAUUUUUAUAAAUAGCUAAUUAUCUUCUCAAGGUCCAAAUUUUUAAAAUUUCAUCUAUUUUUUUGUCCAUAUUUGUUAUGUGAAUAACAUAUGAACUACUUAAAAGGGUAACAAUGAAAUUUUAUAGCAAUUAGAUAAGUAGUUAUACAAGGAUCGAUAGAAUAUAAGACAAGAAGAGGGAGAAUUAGGUUUCAAGCAGUGAGUUUUAGUAAGGCAAAAAGUCGUAUUUACCCUCGACAAAAAUUGGGAUAAAACACAUGACUGUUUAAUGUAGGCAUAAUUGGAUAUAAGUCCACUUUUGUAAAGCCAUUAUUAAGUUUAGUCCAAUUUUGUGAUAUCGUUGUAACGGAUCCAAUGACCGAGACUCCACGUUAGCUUAUUUUUAUUUUGUACCAAAUUUACUCCUUAUGCUAUAAAUUGAAUGAGGAUCUUCUCUGGAUUCUCUUUGUGAGGAUCUUAGAGAUUCUCCAAUCGUGUUAGUUUAUUAUAUGUCAUACCGUCAGAAAUCAUUGUAAAUUUUUUAUUUAAAAUUAAAUAUAAAAAGUAUCUGAUGAAAACCGGUCGCACGAUGUACGAUAAACAGACACAAUUGAAGGAUCGGAGAGGAUCCACAUUCCUAUAAAUUGUAGUAAGUACACACAAGGUUCUAAAGGACGCUAGUCGAACAUCGGGCUGGGGCUUAGCGGAGCUUAGGUGAAAUAGGCGUAUUUAAGUAAAUUUAUUAUAUAUCAUAUAUAAAUAAGCGUCUACAUACACAUAAUAUAUAUAUAUAUAUAUAUAAUUUCAUUGGGAUACAUAAAUACUAAAUAGAAGGACACAUAGAUUAUAAAGUGUUGGAAUAUAAUAAAAACAUGGGGAAUAAGCAUAUAAUGUAUAUUCAUCUAAAUAUUCAACAAGUCUCUUACAAUUUAUUGAAGAAAAAAAUGCAAAAUGGAAGUUAUCUAUUUUCUAUCUAAGUGAGAAUCGUGAUCUAGGCAGGUGCCUUGACGGGUCUAGCCGGGCUAGGCGGGUGCUAAGACGGUCUAGGAGGGCGUCUAAACAGGUCUAGGCACCCUUUCUUAAUUUUCAAACGUCUAGGGAUUAAUCGAUAUGGUGGCUAACAGUUUUAGAAUAAUGAGUACACAUAAUCACCUAAUUAUAGGAUUAUUUGUGGUUGAACUAAUAUCUUAAUUGUAGGAUUAGUUAUUAGCAAUGUAAUCCUCUCAACCCCGUAGCUAAUUUGAAAAAAAAAAAAAGGGUUUUCAAAUGGGUAAAUUAUUGCUGGAUUAUUGUUUGUGUUUGUGCUUAUGUUUGAAACGGAAUGGUGAUGAUGAGAGCAAUGGCAACCAUGACACACAGACCUGCGGAGAUGUUGGGGAUGAAAGGAAUAAAUCGGUUGUUUGGAUGCAUGUCUUCCUUAAACACGAGGGUGUUUGGUUGUUAGUUUUAAUAAAGAAAGUGGGACACGUGUUUUAACUCUACGGAGCUACAUUGUAGUCAGUGAAAAAUGGGUACUGCCUAGCCAGUAACCAAGUAUUGUCCUUUAUUUACAUCAAGGGGCAUGCCUAGUGGCAUUGGACCACUUUCUUGAUCUUGAUCAGCUGCUUGUGUCUGUUUGAUCAUCAUUUCCUUUUGAUCCUUGUUUUUACCCCACAGUAAAAUGUACAUGCCAGUUAUGACAGUGACAGAUCCCACCACGCUGGUAAAUUAAAUGCCAAAAUUUAAUUAGCAAUGGGUUAAUAUGAAGAUAAUCAAUAUUAAUUAUAUGUCAAAUAUAAUUGAAUGAAUAAUUACCUUCCGAGGUAAAUUUGUCCGUGCAAGAAAGAGAAUUCCAACAUAGCCACGAACAUCUGGGUGGCGGGGGUAAAUGCUGCUGUGAAGAGUGCACCCUUUUGUUUCACACACCAUGACAUCCCUACGUAGCACAACCCUGAUCCUACUAUUCCCUGCAACGUCAAUACACAUGAAACCCUAAUUAGUUCUUGAAGAAUUCUAGAUCAUAGCAUUUGAAUGGAUUACUUGAUGAAAUCGAAAUAAUCCAACACAUGUACUAGCUGUUAAAACAGUAGCUGUUAGCUAGAAGGAGAAACCAUGCAUGUUAGAAAACCAUUAAACCCUAAAAAGCUCAAGCUCACACUGGCUAAGAAAGAUUUGAACGGUGAAGAUUAUAGUAGAUGCAGAAGAAAAUACUUACAGUAUAUGCGACACUUAAGAUCUCCAACUUUCCCUUGAGAAUCCACAUUGACAUGGCGAUGUGCCUCUGCGUAAUGAAGCACAAGAUGGCGGAUUGAAUGACGCUGAAGAAGGACAAAAUCGCGGUGCUAGCGUACUGAAAAGGGUAGCUCUUGCCGAUCUUUGCUUGGAUGAGGAACCAUGAAGACCACAAGAGGCAGCCUGAUGCCAAAAAUACUGAACCCACAGCCCACCUAUCACUCUUCUUGGCUGAUGAAAAAGUCGUUGUAUUGGCAUGGUUUUGCAUUUGAACUGUAGAUUCUGAAUGUUGGUUGGUUAAUGGCAUUCCUUUGUACAAGAUCAAUGACACAGCUCCACCAAUACAUAUUAGGGCACCGAGGACUUUAGCGAUCCCACCCUUUUUCUUUAUGUUCACUUUCUCUAGUCUGGAAACUCAAGUCCAAAAACCAAGUUAAUUCCCAUAACAACAUGUUUACCAACUUAGAAUACGAGAAGUUGUGAAUGGAGGAAUGCAAAACAUGAGAGAAAAUGAAUGAGUAUGGGAUCACUAUGCACAGUCCCUAAUAAAUCUAGUUUAAAGUGUUUCAGGUAUCGGUUUACGAAUUGUAAUGUGAAACUCACAUGCCUUUCGGUUUGCAUGUAUAUUUUUAAACAUAGAGGAGAUUCAAAGUCCGAAUUAUUCCAAUACCCAUUUCAGAUAACUAAUCAGACUAAUAACUUAUUCUUUGUACUUUACCCAAAUGGUAGAGCCAAGAGGAAAGUGUUGACGGGCACCAUGUUGAUGAAUGCACAGGAAUAUGUCGCAGAGGUGUACUGAAGUCCAAGAAGAAAUAAGUAAUGCGUGAAAGUUAUCCUGAAAGACACAAGUAUUUGCCAAAAAAAAUCACAUAAAAGAUAACAUCAAAUGAAAUAACAUAAAAAAAUAAAUCAAAGAAACCUUAAAGUACCACUACUAACCCAAUUAGAGCACUGAUGAAAAGGUGGCAUAAGAUUUGAGAUGUAAGCUCUGUUCUACUUUUCCUGCAAAAAAAAAAAAAAAUCUAUAUGCUUAGUAAUAGUUGCUAAUACCAUAUUUACUAAUCAUAUUUUUCACAGAGUUGAGACGACUAGCAAAUUAAUAUGAUACAUAUAGAAACAAAUCGUAAGUCUAUAAGGUUUUACCUCUCCCAAAAGAAAGCAAUUGGUGUCAAGAAAACAGCAGAAAUCGACUGUCGAUAAGUAACAAUAAUCAAACCGCCUAAUCCACCAUCAAUAGUCUUCUUAAGCAGAAUAUUUACUAUAGCAAAUGCAAGGUUAAUGACCAGCAUGACAAAAUAGACUUCCAUUUUCCCCAGCAAUUCAUCGUAAUUAUAUAGAAGUAUUUUGUUUCAAAGCAUAAUGCAGUAAGUUAUUAGACUCGUUCUGUGCUUAUAUACAUUUAUAGGUAAACCAACCAGCUUCCUUCCCACAUACAUGGGGUGGCUAUGAAUGGUUAAUAUUCUUGGCAUCAUUUCCUCAGGUUGAUGGCAAUUUUUUUUUCCCACAACUUUGUCGUAAAAGUUAAGCAAAGAAUCAAUUAACAAGCUUCUUCUCCUAUUAGUUUAUCACUAUCUAUGACCUCAGAUAAAUAUCAAUUCCACAUUUCAUUUUAUUUAUAUUUCUUUUAUAAAUAAGAGUAUUGUUCUUGAACACUUUUUAACUUUGUGACAUUAUUUUGUAAUAUAAAUAUUAUAAUCAGAACCGUUCAUUAUCUUUUUCAUCAUCUCAAGAUCAUUUACGAAAAAAUUCACUUGAUUUGAAAGCCUUUUAGUAGUCCAUAAGAAUCAAACAGAUUGAUGUUUUAUUAUGAUUAUAUUAUAAUUUUUCUUUUUGGGAUCCUCGACGGUACAAAAUUUUUUUUAUGAUAACGAAAAAACAAGUUACACCUAUUUACGAUGACAUAAAUUUUACUCUUCAUAAAACAAAGAUAAUAAAAAAGAAUGCACGAAAAAGAAUGGAGACAUAAACCUUACAUUUCUUGAAACAAAAACAAGACUGAUACAAACAAAAACAAAGUAAUACGAGCCGCCGGUAGACGAGAAUUAUGUCAUGUUAAAAUUGAAGAAGACAAGUCCAUAUUAAUAAAAUUAUCCACGAAAAGAUUUUCUUCACGUUUAUACGAUUUUCUGAUGUAACGUUAAAGAAAAUAUAGCUUUUUACGUAUAAAAAGCAAAAGCAUUGACCGUUCUCUUGGUUCUUGCCAGUACACCUUUUUCUUUUCUUUUGAAUAAUUUAUGGGAGAUUAAUGUGGACGAAACAAUACUGCAUCAAUGAGCAUCUUUCCGAAAAGCAUUGGUGGCUGAUAUGAAUACACUAGCUACCAUUUCUUCAAAGUAGUAUCCAAUACUUCAUGUAAAGAAUGCAAUAUUACUAUUGCAUUGAUUUGAAGAACAAUAUGUCACAUUUUUACAACAAAAAAAAAAAAAAAAAAAAAACAAUAUGUCACAUGUUAGAAAAAAAGAUAUAAACAUAUAUAUAUAAAGCUAAUGGUUUCUUUUUUUGGUCGAAGAAAGCUAAUGGUUAUUGCUGGCUAGGUGGAUGGACAGGCCAUUUAUUUUGUUAUUUAAAUCAUAAAACAAUGCUGCUGAUGUGCCAAACGCACGCCUAAAAUGGUAAUAUACAUACAUACAUACAUACAUACAUACAUACAUACAUACAUACAUACAUACAUAUAUAUAUAUGUGGUUAGUAGUAUCCAGAAUCCAUCUGAUAUGUGUGUGACAGUAUAGAAAAGCAGUGCAGGCAGAGGCCUUUCGUUACAUCAAAUUAUGAUCAUAUGCAGACUCAAACUAGCCACUAUGUGAAAGUAUAAGGGCCUAGCAAAAGAAAAAAUUGGAUAGGAUCCUAUAGGAUCUACCCCUUUCAAAAACCGGACGUGAACGUUUCCUCUCAUCCAGCUCAAGUAGUUACACCAAAUAAAGAUAUAUCGUUUUUGUGUUUUUCAUAGUUAACUCUAAUGAUCCGAACUCUUAUCGAGUACAAAGUUAACGCAACCACCCAAUAAGGUUUAAAAGUAAGAAUGAAAGUUUACUUGUUUAGAAUAGAGAAAGUUAUGAAUCAAGAAAGUCGGAAAUAGGGAAGAGACAAGGAUAACUAGUGCUACCUAAUCAAUCUAAUAUCUAACCAUAAUAGUUUUGGUACCCAUAUGUAACAUAUCCAUUCCAUAUACAUGCCAUUGAAGUAAACUCCAUAUCGUGCAAUUUGCAAUCAUCAACUAACUACACGUAUGUACUAAUUAAAUUUAGAUGUUUAUGCAUGUAGGAGGAUCCAAACCUACUAAGACGUAUGAGUUUACAACUCAGCACACAAUCACCCCUUUACGUACCAUUGAAGCAUUUCACUAGUGUAGUUUAGCUCCAUUGAAUUGUUUUGUUAUUAAGAUAUGGAUAAAAACCCUUGACAUGUGGUCCUAACUCAUCUUCGCACCGUUCCUCACCGUUGGAAUUAGCUUUACUUACAAAGAAUGAAUAUCAUUCUAACAACAAAAUAAUAAUUCUAUUGGAGCAGGUUAAAGGUUAAUACUCACAAGAUUGAUAAACCGCCUAGAAUUGAAUCUUUUCUCCAUUGGGAUGUUCCUCUUUCGGGUUGGGUUAAGCUUAAUGUUGACGGUUGCAAGAAGGGAAAUAAUAAUUCUAUUGGAGCAUGUGGUGUUUUAAGAGAUUUUGAUUGUAAAUGGAUUUCUAGGUUUUGUGCCAAUUUGGGCACAUGUGAGGUUCUCACUGCUGAACUAUGAGGUCUUUACCUGGGCUUACAAUUGGCAUGGAAAUUUUGGAUUCCUAAAGUACUGGUGGAAUCAGACUCUACAAUUACAGUUCAUUUUGUGUUCCAUGUCACACCCCGAUUCUAACAUACGUCCAGGAUUGACACGUGACAUCACCAAGUAUCCGUAUAUCUAACAUACCUCGCCUCUAGAAUAUGUACUAAGCAUGCUCAAGCCUCAAAUUGAGUAGUGAUUUUUCGUAUACUUUAUGGUUGCAUCUAACCUCCUCGUUAGAUUGCCUACGUACCCUCAAUAGGGAUCGUCAUUCGUAGUUCACCAUUUCACUAUACUUGAACAUUUAUCACAUAAAUCGCUAUGUCUCAACAAUAUAUCACAAUGCAUACCAUGCAAUAUGUUCAAGAACCAAUGACGAAGCACAAUAUUCUUCUCAAGCCACAUUGAUCAACUAGAAUAAUCAUAAUAAUAACAUCCAUAUCCAAAGUCAUUCCGCAAUCCAAUCAAUUAAUCAAUUCAUGAAUAAAAAAUGCAUGAUCUUAACAUUUAUUUACGUUAAUCAAUCAAUGCAAUAACUUAUCAUUUCACGAAUUUAACUAAGGAAUCUAUACAAUUCCCUACUUGGAUUAUGAGUAAUAAACAUGGUAAUUCUAAUUUAUAUUCACAAGGUCUAUUAGGGGUAAUUCCCAUCCACUCGAAUCUAGGGUUCUAGACUAACCUUAUGGAUAUGAGCAAGAGUAAGGAUUCCGGACCACUCAACGGAACUAAAACACCAAGCUGCUUCUUGUAAUCUACCCAGACCUGUCAUAUGUACAAUCAUGCCUACAUCAAGGAGAUGGCACACUAGGCAAAUCAGACACUCGAAUAAGCUGCGAAGUUUAGGUGAGUGACAAUAAUACAAGUAUGUGAUAUUCAAUAAAAACAGACCAUCGAUCACAAUCUAUAAACAUCAAGUAUAAAAUCAUGCUUUAUGAAAUCAUAAUCAAGUUGGUGAAAACUCUGAAGAAGCCACCCAGACAUCCAACGACUUUUCUAAUUCAAACCACAAGAUUCUCAAAAACCAUCAUUCAUAUGUACAUUAAAAACUAGGGCUAGAAGAACGCAGUUCGGCCGAAGCCUACAUAAAUAACCAAACAGGAAGUGGCCCCCCAAAGCGGAUUAACCAAGCAGAGCCACCCCUGAGAAAGUAACCAAGUAAGCAGUGACCCCCCAAUGCGUAUUAACCAAGCAGUCACUCCUACAGUUGUUAGGAAGUGAUCACCCAAUGCAUAUUAACCAAACAUGAUCACUCCUAAGCAUACAUGGCCAUAAGGAUCGCCCAACGCGGAUUAACCAAGCACGAUCCAUAUAUAAUAUGGUCCCCCAAUGCGGAAUAACCAAGUAAGGUCAAGAUAAUAAGGUAGGUAGUGACCCCCCCAACACGAAUUAACCAAGCAGAGUCACACCUACAGAACUGUUAGACAAUGAUCACCCAACGCGGAUUAACCAAACAUGAUCACCCCUAAGUAUAAAUGGCCAUAAGGAUCACCCAACGCGGAUUAACCAAGCUCGAUCCAUAUAUAGUAUGGUACCCCAAUGCAGAUUAACCAAGUAGGACAACUAGUGGCCCCCCAAUGCGAAUUAACCAAGCAGGGUCAUAGUCCCUUACUAGCCCUCAAUUUACAAAACAUUUCAAUAUGCAAUUCAAAUCACUUUUCCACAAAUAUUACCAAUCCAUGAAUCAAAUCACAUUUAAUAAAAAUAGAUCGAUGGCCAAUUAUAAAAGAAUCACAUUUUAACAGAAAACACAUUUUAAAACCAUGUCAUAUCCACAAAGGAUAUUAAUAUAAAGAAUCGGGUAAUCAACAUAUCACAUAUAUUAAAGUCACUCACUGAGACAGGUCAGCAAAGCUUCAUUGAGUCUGUAGUAAUACUAAUUUUAGUAAUUCAAAUGGUUUGAGACCUGUUGACCAAAAAUCAAAGGUGGGGUCCACACCCUAACAAUUUAAUUUGAAAGAUUCGCAUAUCAAAAUCUAGAUCCGUAACUUCCUAAGGUCCAUAUUAUGCUCAAAGAACUACAUACUAAAAUCUCAUCACGAUCCGACGGUCGGAUCUUCGCCAAUUGCUAGAAUUAGGUGGUUGUUAACAAUUAAUUUUACAAACUUAGAAAUCUAAUUUGGGAAGAUCUGUACGUCGGAUUCCCGAUCCGUUAGUUCCAGCUAUCCUCAAAUAUUACGUUCUAUAACAUAUUAAAGUUUGGUGACGAUCCAACGGUCGAAUCAUCGAUUCAAAUUUUGAUCAAGUGAUGUAUCAUAAUGAAACUAAGUUCAAACAAUCAAACCACUUCAUAUGGAUAUCAAUUAUGAAUUCAGGGCAUCUAAUUGGACUAAGAAAGACAUCGUCGGCUCACUGGCCACGCGCCGCCGCAGGUGGCAGUCGCCUGCCCCGACUUGUCGGAAAAUCCAACUAUUUUAAAAAAUUACCAAAUUUUACAAGAAAAUAGAUCUCAGUGAGUGGAGCAAGUUUCAUACCUGUGGCCAAGUCCAAUUUGGCUGGGAAAAGCUCAAAUUUCCCUCGAACUCGUCGGAAAACCUAGAAAUGGGUGUUCCUUGAUUCAUCGCCAAAACGAACUUCGACGCCUCAUCCCAUGCUUGGGCCUUGCUCCAAGGGUUGAGGGGAGUCUAUUAGUGGUGAUGAUCGACAAUAAUCGUUGUCGGAAUCACCGUAACAUGAGAAAACUCGGAGGAAAACCGUGGACUUUAUGGCUUCCGUUUGUAAAAUUGGGUUAGAAAUUGAGAAAUAUAAUACCACAAAGGUGUUGGGUUCGCCGAGGGCUUUCCAUAGACACCAAAAUCACCUCAAUCGAACGUCGGAAGAGAUACAACCGGAUCAAGGAACCGGGUCAGCGUUUGAAAUCGAGUCAAGGUUGCUUGGGUGUGUCCUCCCCUUUCUUCUUCCCCUCAUUCUUCCCCUUCUGAUUGGUUCCCUUAACUCACAUAAAUAUGAUUGGCCUCUUUCCCACAAGAUGAGAGUUUAAAAUAAAUUUAAAAUCUAUAGUUUAGUAACACAACUUCAAAUGUUUGUAUCUAUACCGUUAUAAUCCGGACUCGCAAACGACUUUCGCCUAUGCGCUCGUAGUUUCAAGAUCUAUUUGAAUACGUUACUUGUGACCUCAAAAGGUCAAUGAAUUUUAGAUAAUUACUUUCCAAAUUUCAAACUUCGUAACUAAUUUAAUUAAAAUCUAAACCCAAAUAAAUUAAUAUAAUUUGUCGAAAAAUAAUAUAAAAUCUCAAUAAUACAAAUACGUAGAUUAUAAUAGUGAAAUCCAAGAACAGAAUUUCACAUUGCAGCUACUGGGAAUAAUCAUCCUUUUGGUCCCCUUGUUUUGGCUUGUCGAGAAUUGCUUUCAAGACGUUGGUAAUGCAAACUUCGACAUAUCUACAGAGAAAAGAACUUUGGGGCAGAUAGUUUAGCAACUUAUAGUCUUGAUUUAGAUUUAGGUCAUUUUUAUUUUGAUACUUGUGGGUGCAAAUUUAUUCCUCCUUGAUCUUAGACAAAAUUGCACGUACAAAACAAUUAACACCUUAGGUCAAGGCCAGAAGUCUCACGCGCCCACGAUGAAUGGGGGGGCUUUGACCGAAGAACCUCCGAUAUCAAAGUUAGAAUUUAGAGAGAAAAAAUGUUUGAGAAUUCUAGAGAAUUUUAGCAAGAGUUGGAAGCCAUUUUUGGGAGAGAAUGGUGAGCUAUAUAUAGGGAUAUGGCCUGCCUUAUUAGGAGAAUAGGGACCGGCCAUUUAGGUAUUUUUUGGGUGUAAAUUGUGGUUAAUUAGCCAUUAAUAGAUUAAUUAGGUAAUAAAUCUAUUAAUUGACUAAUUAACAUAUUUUGAAAGAAAUUAUUUGGGGAGUUAUGAAAUGAUUAAGAUAAUUAACUAAUUGAUUAGCUAAAAAAAGGAAAAUGAGGUGAAAAAUAUAUGGAAUCAAAUAGGUUUUGGGAGUUACCUUGUAGAAGGGAUUUGAUGAGAUAAGUUUUGAAUUGUUACCUAUUUUGGGCACUUUUGACUUGGUUGAGGGAUAAUUACCCGCUGCUCGCGUGUAGGAAUUCCGUUAUGCCUCAAGGGUAUUUUUGUCAUCUUUUGUCUAAAAAUCCACGUGUCGCCUUGUGAUUAUUUUUUGCUCCACAAUACUCCUCCUUCUAGUUCAGUUAAUUUCAUCCAUGAAGAUCGACUUGGGAUGUCCCGAUUUAGAUUUAAUAUUGAGUAUGUUUGUUUGGACUCUUGCUUUUAGCCUCGUUUUUCAAACAAAUAAAUAAAUAAAUAAUUAACAACGAAAUAAAUAAACAUCUCUUGGAUUAUAUUGGGUGAUAUGGGAGGAGAGGCCCAAACAACAAUCUGGGCCUGGCUAACAACAAGAAAAGGAGUGUCCAACCAAGUGCAAGCCCAACUCCAAGUAAAGCCUCUCAAACAGAUAAUCUAGCUUCUGCAUCUUCUUCUCAGUUAAUCUGUAUGCUUUUGGAAAUGCAAUGCGCCAUGGAAGGCCUUUCCUGGUCAAAGACCACCGCCACCACGGCGCUUCCCAACUGGGAGACAUAUUCCUGGUGGCCGGCGUCACCAAGACCCUCUCAACCUCCGGCACCCGCAACCUCCCGAACCCCCACACCCUCCCGCUCUCCGAGCCCCUCCUCUUCCAAAUCCUCCGCUCCCAGUCCCUCCACCCCUCCAAAAAACUCGACUUCUUCAAAUGGUGCUCUCUCACUCAUCACAUCAAACACUCGGAGCGCACGUACUCCCACAUCCUCCGCACCGCCUCCCGCUCUGGAUUCCUCCACGAGGUCCCUCCAUUGCUUCACUGCAUGAAGGUGGACGGCGUCGUGGUCGAUUCCCAGACCUUCAAAGCCCUGCUCGACGCGUUUAUCCGGUCCGGUAAGUUCGAUUACGCGCUUGAAAUUUUGGAUAUUAUGGAAGAUGUUGGUGCUGGGUUGAACACCGAUAUGUAUAACUAGGUUCUUGUUGCUCUGGUUAGGAAAAACCAGGUGGGUUUGGCCAUGGCCAUUUUGUUUAAGCUUCUGGAGGGAGGGGAUUCGACCCAGGUGCCGAAUUCGAUUGCCUGCAAUGAGUUGCUGGUUGCUCUUGGAAAAUCUGACAUGAGGGUUGAGUUUAAGCAAGUUUUUAAUAAGCUUAGAGAGAGCGAGGGGUUUGAGAUGGAUACUUGGGGGUAUAAUAUUUGCAUUCAUGUAUUUGGGUGUUGGGGUGAUUUGGGUACUAGUCUGAGUCUGUUCAGAGAGAUGAAAGACUCUAACUUGGAUUGCGUCGGGCUGGAUUCGUCUACAUGUAAUAGCCUCAUUCAUGUGCUCUGCUUGGUGGGGAAGGUGAAUGAUGCACUUACUGUAUGGGAGGAAUUGAAGGGCUCCGGCCAUGAGCCGGACGCAAUUACCUAUAGAAUUCUCUUAUUCAGGGGUGUUGUAAGUGUUAUCGAAUAGACGAUGGCACUAAGAUUUUUAGUGAAAUGCAGCUCAAUGGAUAUAUACCGGAUACCAUUGUUUAUAAUUCUCUACUAGAUGGGUUAUUCAAGGCUAGGAAGGUUAAUGAUGGCUGCCAGUUUUUUGAGAAAAUGGUUCGGAAUGGGGUGAGAGCCUCAAGGUGGACGUAUACUAUUCUCAUGGAUGGUUUGUUCAGGAAUGGAAGGGCGGAGGCUCCGUACACACUAUUUUGUGACUUAAAGAAGAAGGGUCAGUUUGUUGAUGGUGUAACAUAUAGCAUUGUGGUUUUGCAACUUUGUAAGGAUGGUCUGCUUGAGGAAGCGCUAGAAUUGGUGGAAGAAAUGGAAAGCAGAGGCUUUACUGUUGAUUUAAUUACUGUAUCCUCACUUGUGAUUGGGCUGUAUAAAGAAGGUCGGUGGGAUUGGACGGACAAGCUCAUGAAGCACAUUAGAGAGGGGAACCUAGUGCCGAGUGUUCUUAAAUGGAAGGUUGAUAUGGAGGCUUCACUGAAAAAUCCGCAGAGAAGUAGAAAGGAUUAUACACCAUUGUUCCCAAGUAAAGGUGACUUGAGCGAGAUUAUGAGUUUAAUAAAGUCUGCUGAAUCAACAAUGGAUGCAGACCUAGAUUCAGAGGCUGCCAGGGCUAAAGAAGACGAUAAGAAUUUGUCCACCGAUGCGGAUCAAUGGUCAUCAUCUCCACAUAUGGAUGAAUUGGCUAAUCAACUUAAGUCCGCCGACCACUCCUCGCAGCUGUUUUCAUUGUCCAGGGGUCUAAGAGUUCAAGCGAAAGGGGAAAGCACUUUUGAUAUUGACAUGGUUAAUACUUUUUUGUCCUUAUUCUUGGCCAAGGGAAAGCUGAGCAUAGCAUGCAAAUUGUUUGAGAUUUUCAGCGACCUUGGUGAAAACCCCGUGAGUUAUACUUAUAAUUCCAUGAUGAGUUCAUUCGUCAAGAAGGGCUACUUCAAUGAGACAUGGGGUGUACUCAAUGAAAUGGGAGAAACGCUUGGGGAAGAUGGGCAGAGCGGAUCUGGCGAGUUCUGUCCUGGAUAAGCUAAUUAAGCAGGGUGGUUAUCUUGAUGUGGUUAUGUACAACACCUUGAUUAAUGCACUAGGGAAGGCUAGCAGGAUUGAUGAAGUAAACAAGUUCUUUUAGCAGAUGAAGAGUAGUGGAAUAAAUCCUGAUGUUGUCACUUUUAAUACACUUAUUGAAGUACAUAGCAAAGCAGGUCGGCAAAAGAUGCAUAUAAGUUUUUGAAAAUGAUGUUCGAUGCAGGCUGCACCCCAAACCAUGUUACUGACACGACUUUAGAUUUUCUGGGCAAGGAGAUUGAGAAAAUGAGGUACCAGAAGGCAUCCAUGGUGCGCAAUAAGGAUGACUGACCUUGAAAAGAAUUUAUACACUUCAAUUCAACUGUAGUUCAACCUGCUGUGACUUUCGGCUCAUAAAUUUUAAAUGAAAAUUUGAAGGCCAAAAGUGUAGUCGUGUGUUGAGGUGCAUUUUCGAUCUAUAAUCAUGUCAUGCUCAGCUUCGGUCAUGUUAAAUGUUAAAAUUGCUAGAGGUGAAACUUCAGGUCGGUACCUACUAAACUGUUAGAAUGUAACGUAACUGGAAUAUUUGUUUUUCUUCCAAAACUCUGAAACAUAAUUGAGCUUUGUUAAGCUAGAAGGUAGAUUAUUUGAUUCUGGUAGUGAUUUAUGCAAGAAUUUGAAUGAUCAUGUUACUACUGUGUAUUAGUUUUCUUCUUUUAUGUUAAUGCAUCCUGCUUUCACUAUUUCCAUUAAGAAGAGCGUGCCUUAGAUUCUCUCUUCGUUUCCUUCUCAGUUUUCUAACCCAACCCAAUUAAAACUACAAUGCUUCUUAUCUAUAGCCUUGUCGUAAACUAUCUAAAUAACUAGAAGUCUCUCAAUAAAAUGAAUUAUAGCUAAGAAUCCUUAAAUGAUGUGUUUCUUGGCUCAUUCUCUCCUUCGAUCCUACUUUUGUUCCUUUUCCUUGUAGGUUAGAACUCAGACAAGGAGCGAGCCGAGAGUUCUUUACCAUGGCCUCCAUUUUUGUCAAAAAUCAAACUCAGGCCUCGAGUUCACAAAAUUUGGAGAGCUCUCUCUCUCGCUUUGCUCUCUAGGUAAACCCGACAGAAAUUCUAUGGAAACAUUACGCCUGCAAACGAAGUUGCAGGCCCAUGCACAAGCAAACUCCAUCUGAAGGCCGAAGAAUCCAAAGGUAAAUGUUGUGUUUGGCUCAUAUAAUUAUGAGUUGGCAACCAUUUCCUCUCAACUUUGUGGACUUUGGAAGCAUGUUUUGUGGAAGCAUGUUUUGUGGACUUUGGAAACAUGACCCCGUAAACUUUGUUUUUGGUGGUUGACAUAAUUGAUGGUGCAUGUCUAUAAGUGAAGGCAUUUUUCAUACACAAAAUUGAAGUGAGCUUGCCGUGAGAAAAUUGUGGGAACAUCCAGAGGAGAACACAAGUAGAAAAAUAUAGAGUGAGAGUGAGAAACUCUUGGGGAGAGUGAGUCUCUUAGUAAAAUUCUGUGAGGAUACAAGGGAUUGGGGUUUGGGUUAUGUCGAUUUAACUCAAGUGUAUCUUGUACUAGUUAUUCUCAUAGUGAAGAGCAAUAUCUCUCGGAGGACGUAGGCAGGUUUUUGCCGAACCUCGUAAUUCUCUUUGUGUCAUUAUUUCUUGUAUUUUAAAUUGUUCAACUGUUGGUUUAUAAGUUGGUGAGAUAACGGGCCAAGGCACAACAAUUGGUAUCAGAGCUUUGUUGGAAGCUUUGGUUCAUUGACGGUUCAGAUUUUUUAUUCACCAUGAUGACUACAAACAUGUCAUUUUCAGUUGAGAAGUUUAAUGGGAAAGGCAGUUUUACUCUUUGGCAGAUGAGAGUAAAAGAUGUCUUGACUCAACAAGGCUUGGCUAGAGCUUUGAAGGGAAAAGAUGGGAAGCCUCAAGAAAUGACAGAUGACCAGUGGGAGGAGCUGGAGGCGUGUUGUGUUAGCACGAUUCGACACUGUAUAGCUGAUAACAUUAUCAAUAAUGUUAUGGAUGAAUAUUCUGCGCCUGCACUUUGGGAGAAGUUGGAAAAACUCUAUAUUGCUAAGAGUUUGACCAACAAGUUGCAUUUGAAGCGGAAACUGUACAAGCUGAAGAUGGAUGAAGGUGGGAAUCUCAUGGACCACAUGAAUGAGUUCAACGGAUACUUGGAUCAAUUGCGGAAAGUUGAUGUUAAGGUUGAGGAAGAAGACAAAGCCCUCUUACUUCUUACCUCACUUCCAGAUUCGUAUGAAAAUCUUGUGACAACCUUACUGCAUGGAAAAGAUACAGUAAGUUUGGAGCAGGUGCAAACUUCUUUGGUGUCUUAUGAUACACAAAAGAAGAAGACCAUUGUUGAUGGUGGGCACGAGACUGCUUUAGCUGUUCAAGGUUAGAAUCGUGGAAGAAAAUUGGGAGAAGGAUCUGAGAGAGACAACAGGUUCAAAUCUGGUUCCGGAGGCAAAGGUCUACAAUGCUACAACUGCAAAGAAUUCGGGCAUAAAAAGAAAAAUUGUCCUUUGAGAAAAAGAAAGGAUGAUCUUGGUCCGGGUUGUAGCAAUUUUGUGGCGGAAGACUUCGAGUAUGCCCUCUAGGUACUCGAAGCAACACUUCUCCUGAUGAUGUUUAGUCUCAAGUGUUGCAGGGGUUUUGCAACAGGUGGAGCUAUGGGAUUCACAGGUGAUGAGAUGAUCAUGAGGUAGGAUGAAGUGUGGGAAUUUUGUCUGGCUCGAUGGGUUGUUACUGAAAACGGGCGCGCUGACGAGUUUCCAGGUUGCAGACAAUGAAGAGGAGGAAAACCUGCUGAAGGAGACAAGGAUGUGUCGAGAUCCUGUCUGAAGCUAAAUGGUGAUUUUUAGCUUGCAGCAGCUGGACAUGCAUUGGCAGUGACUGAAUCAGGAACAGGACCAACGAGGUUGAUUCAGGGUGUGUAUGCUGGUACGUAAGGCCAAUGGACAUUGGUGAUGGGUGCAAGGAUUUUUGCACAGUAUAUUCGCCAAGGUGGAGAUUGUUGUGUUUGGCUCAUAUAAUUAUGAGUUGGCAACCAUUUCCUCUCAACUUUGUGGACUUUGGAAGCAUGUUUUGUGGAAGCAUGUUUUGUGGAAGCAUGUUUUGGGGAAGCAUGUUUUGUGGACUUUGGAAACAUGACCCCGUAAACUUUGUUUUUGGUGGUUGACAUAAUUGAUGGUGCAUGUCUAUAAGUGAAGGCAUUUUUCAUACACAAAAUUGAAGUGAGCUUGCCGUGAGAAAAUUGUGGGAACAUCCAGAAGAGAACACAAGUGGUAGAAAAAUAUAGAGUGAGAGUGAGAAACUCUUGGGGAGAGUGAGUCUCUUAGUAAAAUUCUGUGAGGGUACAAGGGAUUGGGGGUUGGGUUAUGUCGAUUUAACUCAAGUGUAUCUUGUACUAGUUAUUCUCAUAGUGAAGAGCAAUAUCUCUCGGAGGACGUAGGCAGGUUUUUGCCGAACCUCGUAAUUCUCUUGGUGUCAUUAUUUCUUGUAUUUUAAAUUGUUCAACUGUUGGUUUAUAAGUUGGUGAGAUAACGGGCCAAGGCACAACAGUAAAUCCCUUCGAACUCUUCGAUUUUGAACAUCCAUCUUUUUCCUCCUCAUCUUCUUCUUCUGCUGCUGCUUUGACCAAUAGCGAUACUUCAGGCAGUGCUGCUGCUGCUGCUGCCGCUAUGACGUUUGAGCGUUUUGUUGAAAUUCAUAAAAUUGGUUUCGAUCACUGGGCUAUCUCUUUCGUUAUCACUUUUCUGUUUCUCAAAUUUUUUCCUCUCUUGCUUUCUGCUUCGUGCUCUGUCACCCAAAUGUUUUUGACAACAUCUUCUUUCUUUUACCUUUCGUGCUCUGUCUUGCAGAUGAAUCUCCCAGAUUUGAGAUCUUUUCUUUUGCUUUAUUUUUUUUUAUUAUAUUUAUAUAAGAUUUUUUUAUAUUUUUUUAGUGAGUUUUUCUAUUUCAGUUUCGGUUUAUUGUGUUCUAGCUGUUGAAGAAUGUAAAUUUGGAUUUGCAAAUGGGUGACAGAAAUUUGGACCCUGAUUUCUCUUCGACGAUUGCUAUCAAGAUGAACUAUAAUCCUAGAGUUUCAGAGGUACUGCCAUUGUUUUUUUAUAUGUGUUUUUAGAUUUUUGCUUUGUUUUUUCUUUGUUCUUUUUAAUCUUUGAUUGAGAAAUUCAGAUUUGUGUGUUUCAAAUUUUCUGGUAAAAAUUUAGGGUUAAGGAAAUUUUAGAGAGGUGGAUCACAUUGUAGGAUAUGAAGUUUAUGUAAUUGGUAUUUAGGGGGUGGAAUAAAUUGCAGUUACUCCUUUUGUUUAAAUUUUGGUUUUUAUGUAAUUUUCAUUUAACGCUUAAAUUAAAGAAAGAGAACACGCAAUUUUUUAUAUUUCUUGAUAAUGUGUAUCUGGGUGAUGAUGAAAUAUGCAAUUAAUUUAUUUGCUAAUUGGUUCGUUUAGGUGUGCAUGAAGCAAAGCUCUAAAUUAAAGAUGUUAGAAUUGAACAACAACAACAACAACAACAAAGUCUUUUCCCACUAAGUGGGGUCGGCUAUAUGAAUCCUAGAACGCCAUUGCGCUCGGUUUUGCACAUGUCCAAACCCAUUUUGUGUACGUGUUGAUGCUUCACCGCCCAACAUUAUGUGUCAUACAUCAUCGCCGGCCUUAUUGCCGUCCUUUAAAAUUUUCCCUUGAGCUUCAGUGACCUACGACGGUCACACAACACGCCGGAUGCACUGUUCCACUUCAUCCAUCCAGCUUGUAUUCUAUGGUUGAGAUCUCCAUCUAAUUCUCCGUUCUUUUGUAAGAUAGAUCCUAGGUAGCGAAAACGGUCGCUCUUUGGUAUUACCUGAUCUCCGAUCCUCGCCCCUAACUCAUUUUGGCCUCCAUUUGCACUGAGCUUGCACUCCAUAUAUUCUGUCUUUGAUCGGCUUAGGCGAAGACCUUUAGAUUCCAACACUUCUCUCCAAAGGUUAAGCUUCGCAUUUACCCCUCCUGAGUUUCAUCUAUCAACACUAUAUCAUUUGCGAGAAUCAUACACCAAGGAAUAUCAUCUUGAAUAUGUCCUGUUAACUCAUCCAUUACCAACGCAAAAGGGUAAGGACUUAAGGAUUGUUGAUGCACAAAAUCAGUGAGGACUUUGGUACAACAGAAAGUAUUAAGUUAUUUCUCUGGUCAUUAGUGUGGAUAAGUAUGUAAAAUGAUAGAGACAGGAAAGCAAACAUAAGAUGUACGUGGUUCACCCAGAUUGGCUACGUCCACGGAGUAGAUGAGUUCUCAUUAAUUGUGAAGGGUUUACACAAGUACAUAGGUUCAAGCUCUCCUUUAGUGAGUACAAAUGAAUGAUUUAGUACAAAUGACAUUAGGAAAUAUUGUGGGAGAAUGAUCUCGUAAUCACGAAACUUCUAAGUACCGAAGUGUGGUAUCGUCUUCACUUGCCUUAUCUGUCUCAUAGGUAGAUGUGGCAUCUUCUCUGGAAGUACUCUUCCUCCAUCCAGGGGUGGUAUUUUUAACUAGUGGAGAUGCACAAGGUAAUGUAUCAAUUUCACUUGAAGCUUACUUGUAGCUUCAGGUUUGGUCAAGCGCGAUACAAACCAUGUAGUAGGAGUCCCCCAAGUCGCCGAGCUAGGGGAUCUGUUGAAAGAGGUGACAAACAAAGUAAGCAAUCAGAGCUCCAAGCAAUCAGUCCCAGAUCAAAAGUUUGAUUUUGAGUUCUGGCUGAUUGUUCUCAUUCUCCCUAUCUUGCAGGCAUCAUGAAGGAUAAAGAGAAGAAAAUGAGACUAGAUGAUACGAGAUACUUUUGCUUUUGAAGAAGUAACUUUCCACAGGCUUAUUCUUGAACUGGGCGGGAGGGUUUUCUGGUUUCCUCCAGAGUAUAAGGCCGACUGAAGAAUUUGAGGGUCAAAACAAGUCCAUCAAAUCUAGAGUACGUUCGACCAUGCUGAUAUGAGAUACUUUUGCUGUUGACAAAGUAGUGGAUGUAUCGGCACGCGUUCUGUUACGCUUGUCUCCACAUGCUUCCUUGUAUCCUUCUCACUUUCCCUAUCGGUUCCUCAAGCAGAUGUGGUAUCUUCUCUGGAAGCAUAAGAUGUUGAAGAUGAGUACUCGAGAGUAAUGUCAGGUAAGUAAUCAGGUAAGGGGUUCCAGGCAGUCAGUUCCUGACUGGAAGCUUGAUUCCAAGUGCUGACUGAUUGCUCUCUUUCUCCUUGUCUUGCAGGUAAGAACAAGGCCAAAGGAAAAGACAGGGAAAAAGCAUGAUAUGGGAUACUCUUGCUUUUAACCCUGAUGAUAUGAGAUAUUCUUGCUCUGGUGUAGCUUGUUUGUAGAGGUAUUAUCGGGGGGGGGGAAAGAAAGCUGAGUAUUUCGAGAGGCUUCGUUGGGAGUGCCCUCUCAGAUAUGAGGAAGGGUUGAGCAUUUUUGCAGGUCUGCCUUUCCGUUGAGGAUGGAGGUUGACAUAUAUAGGAGUCUCCCUAACAACAAGUAGUAAUGCUAUUCCUUUACCCUGCUUGGUCAUAACACGGUAGUGGGAGCUGCCAGCUUCACGUGUGUCAGAGCACUUUGAAAAAGUGGUCUGUGGUAUCUGGAAAGCUGAUGUUGCGUGUGAAGAUUACAAACAAGCUUUAUCCAAGAAGAUCCGGCCCUCGAAGUUGAGAAAGCGGUGCCUCUUCGAUUUUCGAACAAGCAAUCCUGUCGGAGAUCUGGCUCUCGAGAUUCGGAGAACGGUGCCUCUUUGAUUUUUGAGAGAGCAAUCCUUCUGGGAGUCUGGCUUUCGAGAUUCGGAGAGCGGUGUCUCUUCGAUUUUUGAGAAAUUAAUCAUGUUGGGAGUCUGACUCUCGAGAUUCGGAGAACGGUGCCUCUUCGAUUUUGGAGCAAGCAAUUUUGUUAGGAGUGUUUUCUCGAAAGUGAGUAAAGGUAGGGCAUGUUUGCUAGUCUACCUUGCCACAGAGCACAGAGGUUGACACACAGGGACUUUCCAAUUAUCCAGCAGUGGUGCUGUUCCUUUACCCUUGUGGGUAAUAAUAUGAUAGCUAGACCUUCAAAAUUUAUGUGUCUAAACUUUGUUAGUGCUGUUUCUUUGCUAUUCUUUUACCCUUCUUGGCCAUAGCGAUGUAGUGGGAGCUGCAAGCUUCACGUGUCUAAACUUUGUCAGAGAUCUUUGGCAAAGUUAUCUGUGGUACCCCUGAGCUGAUGGUGCGUGUGAAAAGUGGAUGAUUGAACAGUAAGAUUCACGUGCUUUCUACUUCACCAGAAAUCUUCAACAGAAUGCCUGUAAUUUCAGCAAAGCUGAGUGUGCAUGUGACAGGUGCUGACAAGGCUGAAAAGUGCCUCUUCGAUUUCUGAGAUCGGCCCUCGUGGUCUCUGAGCAGCCCAGCUUUUGAGAAAGCAAGCCUCUUCGAUUUCUGAGAUCGAUCUUCGUGGUCUUUGAGCAGCUCAGCUUUUGAGAAAGCAAACGCCUCUUCGAUUUCUGAGAUCGGCCCUCGUGGUCUCUGAGCAGCCCAGCUUUUGAGAAAGCAAACGCCUCUUCGAUUUCUGAACAGACGCCUCUUUGAUUUCUGAAGCUCCGUCGAGUGCAGAUUUUUAUAGAGGCUGGCAUUAAGUUUCAAAGCACACUUGAAUCUUCACCAGUAGAAGCUCCCUUCUUGCACUUCUAAGAUCUUUAUUUGUCCGACCUCUUCUCUCUUCAACACCUUUGAAAAUGUCUGGCCCCUCCGACCGUCAUUUUGACUUGAACCUUGUUGAAGAGGCAGCCAUGCCUUCUCCAGACAACAUAUGGCGUCCAUCCUUCUUAUCCCCUACUGGUCCUCUUACCGUUGGGGAUUCCGUGAUGAAGAAUGAUAUGACCGCUGCGGUGGUGGCCAGGAACCUUCUCACUCCCAAAGAUAACAGACUACUUUCUAAACGGUCUGAUGAAUUGCCUGUUAAGGAUUCUCUGGCUCUGAGUAUUCAGUGUGCAAGUUCUGUGUCUAAUAUGGCCUAACGCCUAUUUGCUCGAACCCGCCAAGUUGAAUCAUUGGAGGCUGAAGUGAUGAGUCUCAAACAGGAGAUUAUAGGGCUCAAGCAUGAGAAUAAACAGUUGCACCGGCUCGCACAUAACUAUGCUACAAACAUGAAGAGGAAGCUUGACCAGAUGAAAGAAUCUGAUGGUCAGGUUUUACUUGAUCAUCAGCGGUUUGUGGGUUUGUUCCAAAGGCAUUUAUUGCCUUCGUCUUCUAGGGCUGUACAGCAUAAUGAAGCUCCAAAUGAUCAACCUCCGAUGCCUUUUCCUUCUAGGGUUCUAUCCAGUACUGAGGCUCCGAAUGAUCCCCCUCCGAUGCCUUCUCUUUCUGUGGCUCUACUGACUGCUAAGACUUCUCCUAAGCAACCUUUGUGAAGGCUCCCUCUUGUUUGUUUAUUUUGACUCAUGUAUAUGUACAUAUUUGUAACUUAUCGGAGAUAUCAAUAAAUAAGCUUUGCUUCAUUUCCAACGUAUUGUGUUAAAUACACCAAAGCUUUCUUCACUGAGUGGGGUCGGCUAUAUAAAUCUUAGAACGCCAUUGUGCUCGGUCCUGUGUCAUGUCAUUCGUUAGAUCCAAAUACUCUAAGUCUUUUCUUAGAGUCCUUUCCAAAGGUUUCCUAGGUCUUCCUCUACCCCUUCAGCCCUGAACCUCUGUCCCAUAGUCGCAUCUUCUAACCGGAGCGUCAGUAGGCCUUCUUUGCACAUGUCCAAACCACCGUAACCGAUUUUCUCUCAACUUUCCUACAAUUUCGGCUACUCCUACUUUACCUCGGAUAUCCUCAUUCCUAAUCUUAUCCUUUCUCGUGUGCCCACACAUCCAACGAAGCAUCCUCAUCUCCGCUACACCCAUUUUGAGUACGUGUUGAUGCUUCACCACCCAACAUUAUGUGCCAUACAGCAUCGCUGGCCUUAUUGUCGUCCUAUAAAAUUUUCCCUUGAGCUUCAGUGGCAUACGACGGUCACACAACACGCCGGAUGCACUCUUCCACUUCAUCCAUCCAGCUUGUAUUCUAUGGUUGAGAUCUCCAUCUAAUUCUCCGUUUUUUUGCAAGAUAAAUCCUAAGUAGCGAAAAUGAUCGCUCUUUGGUAUUUCCUGAUCUCCGAUCCUCACCCCGAACUCAUUUUCCAUUUGCACUGAACUUGCACUCCAUAUAUUCUGUCUUUGAUCGGCUUAGGCGAAGACCUUUAGAUUCCAACACUUCUUUCCAAAGGUUAAGCUUCGCAUUUACCCCUUCCUGAGUUUCAUCUAUCAACACUAUAUCGUCUGCGAAAAGCAUACACCAAGGAAUAUCAUCUUGAAUAUGUCCUGUUAACUCAUCCAUUACCAACGCAAAAAGGUAAGGACUUAAGGAUGAGCCUUGAUGUAAUCCUACAGUUAUGGGGAAGCUGUCGGUUUGUCCUUCAUAAGUUCUUACAACAGUCUUUGCUCAUUCAUACAUAUCCUUUAUAGCUUGGAUAUAUGCUACUCGUACUCCUUUCUUCUCUAAAAUCCUCCAAAGAAUGUCUUUUGGGACCUUAUCAUACGCUUUUUCCAAAUCUAUAAAGACCAUGUGUAAAUCCUUUUUCCCAGCUCUAUAUCUUUCCAUCAAUCUUCGUAAGAGAUAGAUUGCCUCCAUGGUUGAGCGCCCUGGCAUGCACCCGAAUUGGUUGUCCGAAACCCGUGUCUCUUGCCUUAAUCUAUGCUCAAUGACUCUCUCCCAGAGCUUCAUUGUAUGACUCAUUAGCUUAAUACCCCUAUAGUUCAUGCAAUUUUGUACGUCGCCCUUAUUCUUGUAGAUAGGCACCAAAGUGCUCCUUCGCCACUCAUUUGGCAUCUUCUUUAUUUUCAAAAUCCUAUUGAAAAGGUCAGUGAGCCAUGUUAUACCUGUCUCUCCCAAGACUUUCCACACUUCGAUCGGUAUAUCGUCUGGGCCCACUGCUUUUCUAUGCUUCAUCUUCUUCAAAGCUACAACCACUUCUUCCUUCCUGAUUCGACGAUAAAAUGAGUAGUUUCUACACUCUUCUGAGUUACUCAACUCCCCUAAAGAAGUACUCCUUUCAUGUCCUUCAUUGAAAAGAUUAUGAAAAUAACCUCUCCAUCUGUCUUUGACCGCGUUCUCUGUAGCAAGAACCUUUCCAUCCUCAUCCUUGAUUCACCUCACUUGGUUUAGGUCCCUUGUCUUCUUUUCCCUUGCUCUAGCUAGUUUAUAGAUAUCCAACUCUCCUUCUUUGGUAUCUAGUCGCUUAUACAUAUCGUCAUAAGCCGCUAACUUAGCUUCUCUCACAGCUUUUUCGCCUCUUGCUUCGCUCUUCUAUACCUUUCACCAUUUUUAGGGUCCUGUCCUUGUAUAAGGCUUUACAACAUUCCUUCUUAGCCUUCACCUUUGUUUGUACCUCCUCAUUCCACCACCAAGAUUCCUUUUGGUGUGGAGCAAAGCCCUUGGACUCUCCUAAUACCUCUUUUGCUACUUUUCGGAUACAACUAGCCAUGGAAUCCCACAUUUGGCUAGCUUCCCCCUCUCUAUCCCACCCACACUGGGUGAUUACUUUCUCUUUGAAAAUGACUUGUUUUUCUCCUUUUAGAUUCCACCAUCUAGUCCUUGGGCACUUCCAAGUCUUGUUCUUUUUUCUCACUCGUUUGAUAUGUACAUCCAUCACCAACAAGCGAUGUUGAUUAGCCAAGCUCUCUCCCGGUAUAACUUUGCAAUCCUUACAAGUUAUACGAUCCCCUUUCCUCAUUAGAAGAAAAUCUAUUUGUGUUUUUGACGACCCACUCUUGUAGGUGAUCACAUGUUCUUCUCUCUUCUUAAAGAAAGUGUUGGCUAAGAAGCGAUCAUAUGCCAUUGCAAAAUCCAAGAUAGCUUCCCCAUCCUUGUUUCUCUCCCCAAAACCAUGGCCACCAUGAAAACCUCCAUAGUUGCCUGUCUCCCUGCCCACGUGUCCAUUUAAAUCUCCUCCUAUAAAUAACUUCUCCGUCUAGGCAAUUCCUUGCACCAAGUCUCCAAGGUCUUCCCAAAAUUUCUCCUUCGAACUCGUAUCCAACCCUACUUGAGGUGCGUACACACAUUGAUGAGUUCUUGUCCUAUUACAAUCUUGAUUGCCAUGAUUCUAUCUCCUACCCUCUUGACAUCUACAACAACAUCUUGUGUCAAGGUCUUGUCCACGAUGAUGCCAAACACCGUUUCUCGUUCUAUUUGUGCCCGAAUACCAAAGUUUAAACCCUGAGUUUUCUAGAUCCUUUGCCUUAAGACCAACCCACUUAGUUUCUUGUAGGCACAUAAUAUUUAUCAUUCUCCUCACCAUAACUUCCACUAGUUCCAUAGAUUUUCCCGUUAAGGUUCCUAUAUUCCACGUUCCUAAACGCAUUCUGCUUUCUUGAACUCUACCCUUCUGUCCUAGCUUCUUCACCCUCCCUCGUCCAAUAGAAUCAAAGUACUUCUUUUGUGUGUCCUGUGUAAAGUUGAUAGGAGCAUAUGCUCCCAAACAACUUUGAGUGGAGUCGUUCGAAAAGAAGUUUCUAUGGCCCCCUUGCUCAUUUAACACUACAUCCGGGUGCCGAUGGAGAUACAGCGACCCUUGCUCACUUAUCAUUGUGCUCGGGCCACACAGCGCGCCACUUACGGGUGACGCCCUAGCUUUAGCGCGAUUUCGUUCUGGAUUCAUUUUCAUAAGGAUUCGACAUAACUGUGGAGUGCCGACUAUCGACUACCUGACGUCCUCCCCCUCCUCCUUUACCCGGGCUUGGGACCGGCAAUGUAAGAUAAACUUACACAGACGGAGUUAUGUUAGAAUUGAACCCCAAAAAAAAAAGAAAAAAAGAAAAGAAAAAGGUUAGAAGUAGUUCCAAGCUCUUUAAAGAUUUCAAAUGCUAUAUGAUGUCUGCUUCUUUGGCUGAAUUGUUGUUGUUCUUAUGUAUUUGGCACAUAGAUUGUAUGCUUAUUGCCUACUGAUUUGUUAAUUUUGAUAAUGCUGAGUUGUCGCAUUCUGUGGUCAUUUCAGGAAGUGUGGUAGAAUGCAACAAUUGAGCAUUAUCAAAUUUAUGAUCUGACAAAUGGUUUUAGCAGUAGUAGUUGUACUUAUCAUGCUUGGCAACCAGGUUUAGACUGCCCCUUUUCUUUUAUUUUGCUCUUCCUUUCUUUCUUUCCUUUUGCUUCGGAGAGGAGAAAACUAACCUUUUGUUUUUGGUUUUGUGGGGAAAUAGAUAUAAGGGUUGGAAAAUGAAUCUAUUAGCAUUUCCCCAACUGCUUUUAUUUUUGUAAUUUUUGGGGGGUUUUGUCUGUGUGCUCGGAUGCUGUCUGAUUUCAGUCUUUUUUGCUUUCAGGAAAAGGAAACAUUGGUGUUCGAAUUUUGCAGCUACAUGUCAAGAUGCAAGCAAAGGCUAUGCAGGUGUGUUCCUGUUAAUUGCAAUUUCAUUACAUUCAAUGUCCAGAUAUUCUUAAUUCCAACAAUUGAUUUCAUGUAAUUGAAAUUUUGUUACAUUCAAUGUGCAUGUAUUCUCAUUUGCUAAUUUACUUAUCAAUCGCCAUUUUCCAUUGAUUAAUGCUCAUCAUCUGCAAACCCCAUUGCCCCUGUAUCUUAAAGUUUUUCUCUUUCUUCUUUCCCCCUCAUUUGGGUGCAUAUAAAUUUGGCUAAUUGUCAUUUUUAUUUACUUACGCUACUUUAGUUUACAUUCUAGCCCAUUCAGUCAAUUGCUUUCCCAAAAUAAUUGUAUUUUAAGUAAAAAUUAUUGGGUUGGUUAGAAUUUCAAUUUGGGUUUUGAUUUUUAUGCAUUCAAACUUUCAGUCCACAGUUGAGAGACAAGGAAAAGUUUAGGGUUUUUGUUUGGCCAUAAUUGACGAAGUAAAGGUAAGUCCUUUCCCAUUUGUGAUAUGUUGUAUUACUCUUUUCUUCUCAAUUUUAAUUGUUUACAGUAAUCGGUUUCUUUGUUUUUUUUUAUUAGGCAUUUUAUGUCCUUAUUCCUUGGUCACUUUUCACCAACUAAUUGGUUUUGCUGUGACAGUCCUUCGUCUAUUUAUAUAUCCUAAUCAUUUUUGUGUUCUAUCUUUUCUGACUCGGAUGAUAUUGAUCAAAUGAAUUAGUUAGAAACUGAAAAUUACAUUAGUUCCAUCAAUAUGUUGAUCAAAUGAAUGAGUUAGAAGCUGAAAAUUACAUUAGUUUCUUAAUGCUUUUAUUACUAAACAGAUUUUGUGUAUGUGUAGAAUAACUAUUAGGUUUGUGGGUUUUGAACAGCUUUGCUCUUCCCAAGAGCUAUGAACUCUUUAGUUUUCCAAUUUUAUGAAUUGGGUUUUUGUUUUUCUUUUCAGGCACGCAAUCAAAGAUAUGGUGGUGCGCGAAUCACCUAGAAACUAAUGUAUGUGUAGGAAAAUAUAUGCAUUUUAGAAUGUUCUCGAUGUGAGUAGGGUUUUUGAAAUUGUGUUUUGGCGUGUGUGAAGCUGAAUGAUGCAGUUUUGAUUUUUUUUCAAUUUUUUUUUAUUUCCUGUACAGAACAGCUUUGAUCUUCCACAGGACUACUCUCUGUUGCUUCUGAAAGAUCUCCAUCUCGAUGUGAAUAGGGUUUAUUCAAUCUGUGUGGAUUACCCAGGUGUUGAAUUUGAUAGAUAAUGUGACUUUUGAGAUGGCAGAGUUUUUGAAAUUGUGUUUUUGGCAUGUCUGAACCUGAAUGAUGCAGCCUUUGAUCUUUCAAAUGGAAGGGUUGUCGAUGAGGUUAGUUAUUUUUGAGGCUCUGCUUCUGCAAACGUUAACUCUUUACAUGGAUAUCGAAUUUUAUGUGAAUUUUAGUCAUAUAUCAAACUGCUCUACACCAAACUCUGUGUACUACAACAAUUAUAAUUAGCUUAGUAUACAAUUUUGUUUUACAGUGGAUUUAUAAUGACCAAAAUAUAUACAAAGCAUAUGGAUCAAUUUUUCUAAGCCUUAUUAGUUCCCUAAAUUGUGGUAUUUCAUGUUUAAUAGUGUUAAAUACUUUAUAUGUUAUAUUUUAUUGUGCUCCUUCGUUCUUUUAGUAAUUUUUAAUGCUUCUUCACAAUAUAGCUAAAGAAAGAACACUCUUAUGUUAUCCACCUUUGUUAUUUCUCUUAUGGUUGGACAUUUUUGUUUUCAUUCUUUUAGUUCUUGCCUAAUUGUUAUUUCAUUUUGGUUUUUUGUUUCUCUAUAUAGAUGUUAUUUUGAAAUAGAAAGAAUUUUCAAGAGCAUACUUUAUUACAAUUUUCCUUUAGUCGGGUUCACAAAAUGAAAUUCAAAACAUCAUUUCUAUAAGAUUCACCCUAAAAACCCUUGCGAUGAAAGUAAUGGGAUUUCAGUUUCCUUGCAGAUAUUCAGGUGUCGUUAUCAUUCUUAGCCUUCUUUAUUUCAAAACUACCUUAACCUCAAGCUCACCUGCAAGUUCCUGCUCACCAGGUAUUACAAAGUAAUAAGAAAUUGGCUCGCCUUCUAACAACAUUACUGUCAUAUUUGACACUAAAAGCAUACUAUACAUGCAGUUCCCCGUUUUCUAUCUUCCUUUAUUCUUUUUAUUUUUAUAUAUGUGUAAUUAUUUAUGUAUAAAUGCAAUUCUCAAACAUUGUAAAUCUAAGUUAGCCUAAUAAUUUUAACAUGCAAGGAAAUAGCUUUGUCCAGCAAGGAAAUACCUCUUCGCAACCAACUCAAUCCAACAAAACUUUUACUGCUCUUAAAAACAUUAUCUGCUCAAGUAAGUUCUCAGUUUUCAUAUACUUUUUAUUUCUUGAUGAUAUCUAGGUGAUUUACAUAGUUUUCAACCAUUAGAUCACAUAACUUACAUUUAUAAUUCUAUUGUUUCUGAUUGUAUAAAUAAAUGCCUUUUUCUUGCCAGCUAGAUGAUGUCAUGAUGUGGUUUAGUGGUAUUCAAUACAAUUGAAGAAACUGUCUCUUUAAUCUACUCAUGUUGUGGGAUUUCAAAAAUGAAAGCCACUUGCUUUUUCAAUCUUUUGAAACAAAUUAGCUUUGUAAAGUAACAAAACAAGAAUAUUCCUAGAGGGAAUACAAUUGUCUGCUUUGCUAACGUAGUUCUAUUUAGAUUGAUCAAUGGUAUAAUACUCCUUUUUGUGGAUUGUUUCGAAUUUUUGAAUUUUGUAUUCAAAAUUGGGUUUUGUAAAAAAUUUAGCUACAAUUGUCGAUCAAUCUAGAGAUUUAAUUCAACUUCAAAUUUCGGAGUGUGAUGUUGAUGUUUUAUUUUAUCUUUGGAUGGAGUGAAUAUCCAGCUACUUCAGUCCUUUGCUGAAGUCUACAAUUGAGUAGAACCAAUGUCGAGUAUCAAUGGUGAAGAAGAUCUCGAUGAAUGAAAGGAGAUUAGAGUCUCGAUUCUUAUUCCUUGAAGGCGGUGCUCAACCUACGAUAAGGUUUUUUUUCUUAACACAUCUAAUUUUUAAGUUUUCAGUCAUUUUAAUGGAUAGUUUGGUAUUUGGGCGGCUUUGAUCUUUGAUUUGAAAUAUGUGAUUUUGUCUAAUUCUUUCUGAUCCUCGAUUUCUAUUGAUGUUUAGGGUUUAAUGAAGAUUCUCGAAUGAGGUUGGUUGAGACCAAAAAAAUGGUAUGUGUCAAAUUUUUGUUUUUCUAUUCCUUUAAUUUUAUGCAAAGUUUUAUGCAGAGUUUUGAUGUGCUACUUAUCUAAUUGGGUACGUUGUAUAUAUGCAUGACCUGAUGGUAUUCCGUUAAAUUACUUAUAUGCAAAAAUUGUUUUUUGUCAUGGUUCUAAAUGAUUUGUUAGAUGCUAUUUUGACUUCAGUUUUUUUUUUCUUUUUUCUUCUACUAAUCUUUUCCUAUAUGUUUGAUUUAUAGGCCUCUUGAAUUUUGAAUUGUGAUUGGAAAUUGGAGUAUAGGUAAAACCACUACUUAUUUUUCUUAUUACUUUUCCUUUAAAUGUCUUUUGAGUCUGAGAUUGAGUCUAUAGAUUGUAAAUUUCCGACACUUAUGCAUACUUCGGUGCAUACAAGAAAGCCAAUGUUUUUCUUUUAGGUAUAAAGAACCAAAUACGUUAUAUAAUAUAUAUAUAUAUAUAUAUAUAUAUAUAUAUAUAUAUAUAUAUAUAUAUCUUCAACGAAUGCUUUGUUGUUUUUACUUUUAAUUGUUUUGUUUAAUGGUUGUUUGGAUCCUUAAAAAUAUUCUUCGUUCAAAUGUCUUUUUGGAUGGAUAAUUAAAUUGAUAUAGAUUUUGUUUUUUUUGGAUGGAUAAUUAAUUCGACAUAGAUUAUGUUACCUUUUGCUUUAUCAGUUUACUUAUUUGAAUGAAAUGCAAAUUCCAAUAUUCCAUGUUUGAACAUAGGUUUUGCAUUGUCAAGCCCUGAAAUUAGAACGUAGGUUUGUCACAUGAAAUUGAAUUUUUCCAUGUUUGAGAACUUUCUUUUUGUUCAAAUUGUGUUACCAGUUUUGUGUUUUUUUUUUUUUUUUUUUUUUUUUAGCAUCUAGCAGGUGGACUUAAAAGACAUCAAGUAUGCAGGGGAAUGGUAGGAUUAUCAUUUUAGAGGUAGACACUCAUGUUAAACUUCUAUUCUGGUCUUUUUAUCAUUAAAUUUUGGUGAAAACAUUGUUUAGUAUAACCCUUAUCCCAAUACAAAAUAACAGGUACCAGACUAGCUUACCAUGGAGCUUAUAAUAGUCUAAUUGAUGCUGAAAUCUUAUUUGGCCAAUUUGCUGGAACUACAGUGUUUUUACCGAGAAUCUCUUUAAAGACCACAGAAAGCACUGGACUCCCAUGUGAACUGGUGCGAAAACAGUUUCCUGUGAAAUUGAGUUUUGCACUAACCAUGUUGUGUACGAAGAUAUUUUGCUUCCAUCAAAUAUACGAUAAGGCUACAUUCAUUAUGAUGUUUAAUUCACUUUUCAAAUCUAUGUAGAUAUACAUCUAAAUUGUAUAAGUCGCGCAUAGAACGCUGUAAGUAUAAAAGAGCCUUCCGCAUGCGCAUGAGCGAGUGCAUGGAGGCUAGUUUGUAUAGUAUGAACAAACAAGUACUAUUUCGUUGGAAUACUAUCAAUUUGGACAACAUAUCAAAUAAAAAGUGCACACCAUCAAGGGUCUAGUUUGACAACGUACUUGACAAUAUAACGUGUCAGACCAUCUAAAUAAAGAUGAUUUCCCUACAAAUCUAUGCCCCACUGAUAUACAAGAUUCUGCCGUGAGAGAGAGGGGGAAGAAAACUGUUAGGAUUAUGAAAGAUGUUCGGAUCCAUCUUAGCUCUAUAUAAAGGGUGAAUCACCUCCCUAUAUUUUACCUCACAAGAAUUCCUAUAAAUUGGGUUCUGCUCAAGCUGCUAGACAAACGCAGCUUACCCAAACUAAAGUUCCACAGAAAACUGAUACCAUGGGGAUUUACAAGUUCAUUUCACCCCUUCUCUUCUUCUCAUAUUUCUGCAUGCAUGCAUUUGUUCUGAACUCAUUUCUUAGUUUGGCCCUCGCCGGAUCAAACAAGACGGAUAAACUGGCCUUGCUCGAAUUCAAGGCUUGGAUAACCACAGACCCCUUUGGAGUCAUGACUUCAUGGAACGAAACCCUCCACUUUUGCCAAUGGCACGGCAUUACCUGCAGUCACCGCCACAAGAGGGUCACAACGUUGACGCUGAGGUCCUUGAAGCUUGGAGGCUCCAUAUCGCCACAUGUUGGAAAUUUGAGUUUCCUCAGAGUGUUUAGUCUCUCAAACAACAGCUUUAGCCAUGAAAUCCCUUCAGAAAUUGGCCGUCUGCGCAGGUUGCAACGUUUGGGAUUGCAAAAUAAUUCACUGAGUGGGGAAAUUCCUGCUAAUUUAUCAGGUUGCUCUGAACUCAACUACAUAAUUAUUGGCGGCAAUUUGUUAGAAGGUAGUAUCCCUAAGGAGCUUGGCACCUUGUUAAAGCUAAUUAUAUUCGAUAUUGCAUACAACCACCAUACAGGAAGUAUCCCUUACUCUUUUAGCAACACAUCAUCUCUUGAAGUGUUUGGUGCAGCUUUUAAUAGUUUAAGUGGCAGUAUUCCAGAUAUCUUUGGUCGAUUGACCAAUUUUUAUUUUCUUGGAUUGGAUGGAAAUAACUUGUCUGGUACGAUCCCUCCCUCAAUUUUCAAUGUCUCUUCUCUUGAAACCUUUGCUGUGGGACUUAAUUACAACCUCCAAGGCACUUUUCCUUCAAACUUGGGCAAUUCCUGUCCAAGUCUCCAAACUUUUGCCAUCAGUAAUAACCAGUUUAGUGGGAUUAUACCUGUUUCAAUAUCUAAUGCCUCAAAUCUGUUUGAACUAGCAAUACACAAAAACCAACUGCACGGAGAAGUCCCCUCUUUGAAAAACUUACACAAUCUUGGGCGGUUUACUCUUGCUAUUAACCAUCUUGGAAGUGAAGGAACUGGUGAUGAUUUGAGCUUUCUUUGCGAUCUGACUAAUGCCACCGGUUUACAAUACUUGGAAAUGGGUGGAAACAACUUUUGGGGUACGCUGCCUCAGUGCUUAGCCAACCUGUCUUCUUCACUUGUAUCUUUCUACGUAGACUAUAAUAGUAUAUUUGGCAGUAUCCCGAAAGGGAUGGAAAAUCUGCAUAACCUGGAAAGCAUAGCGCUGUCUGGCAACCGGUUAUCAGGUCUCAUCCCUCCUGAAAUAGGAAGGCUUUCCAAAUUAUAUGUAGUAUAUAUGGAAAAAAAACUCGCUCUCUGGGAAUGUUCCAUCAUCUUUUGGAAAUUUAAGUCGAUUAACUCAUCUGCAUCUACAUGAUAACAACCUCCAGGGCACCAUCCCUUCAACUUUAGCUGAGUGUCCCUAUUUGAUGAACUUAACUCUUGGUGGUAACAAUUUCACUGGUAUCAUAUCAUCAGAAUUAAUUCGUUCGUCUUCUUCAUAUGUUCAUUUGGAUUUAUCUCAAAAUCAUUUGACAGGCUUUCUUCCCAUGGAAGUCGGACAAUUGAUAAAUCUAGAGCAUUUUGAUGUUUCUGGAAAUCUGUUGUCUGGUGAAAUUCCUCCAAGUCUUGGAAGUUGUAAAAGCAUACAGUAUCUUCACUUGCAAGAAAACUUCUUCCAAGGGACAAUUCCAACAGAUUUGAGCUCACUAAGAGGUAUUGAAACCUUAUCUCUCGCUCGCAACAAUUUGUCAGGGACAAUUCCAAAAUUCUUGGAGAAUUUUACAUUUCUGCAAUCCUUGAAUCUGUCUUAUAACAAUUUAGAGGGAGCAGUACCUAUCGCAGGAGUUUUUCGGAAUGCAACUGCCACAUCAGUCCAAGGGAAUACAAAGCUCUGUGGGGGCAUACCAGAGUUUCAAUUGCCAAAAUGCGAAUUUCGACAUUCCAGCAAAAGGGUGUUGAGCCUAACCUUGAAACUAGUAAUCUCUCUCCUUUGUGGGCUUUCUGGAGCCUUUUUUUCAUUUGCCGUUUUGUACUUUUGUUGCUUUCGGAGUAAAAAAAAGGAGGAUCCUUCGAGCGAUUCUGAAAAUUUUCCUAAGGUUUCUUACCAAAGUCUUGUUAAAGCUACUGAUGGAUUCUCUUCUGCCAAUUUGAUUGGUAUGGGAGGUUUUGGGUCAGUUUAUAAAGGAUUACUUGAUCAAGGUGAAACAACAAUUGCUAUCAAGGUACUCAACCACGAUCGACAUGGAGCUUCCAAAAGUUUCAUUGCUGAGUGUGAGGCUCUGAAAAAUAUUAGACACCGUAACCUUGUGAAGGUACUUUCUGCAUGCUCCGGAUUCGACUAUCGUGGUUCUGAUUUCAAGGCCUUAAUUUACGAGUUCAUGGUAAAUGGGAGCUUAGAAGAAUGGUUGCAUCCAACUCAGACAAGUAUUGAUACGGAUCAGAGGCCAAGGAGCUUAACUUUUUCGCAGAGGUUGAACAUUGCUAUAGAUGUUGCAGUGGCAUUGGAUUAUCUCCAUCAUCUGUGUCACGUGCCAAUAGUUCAUUGUGACCUCAAACCCAGCAAUGUUCUUCUCGACAAUGAUAUGAUUGGACAUGUAGGUGACUUUGGGUUGGUGAGAUUCCUUCCAAGAACUCUUGAAGAUGGUUUUGGUAAUCAGUCAAGCUCCAUCGGAGUCAAAGGAACAAUUGGUUAUACUCCUCCAGGUAAAACAUACUUUCUUUUCAUUUUUUUUUCAGUAUUCAUCUAUAAUUUAGAUUUUUUUUUUUACGUAUUAAAAUAAAAACAUUUGCACAAAUGUAGAGUAUGGUAUGGGGCAUGAAGUGUGGCCGCAAGGUGAUGUGUAUAGUUACGGCAUCCUCCUACUGGAAAUGUUUACGGGAAAAAGGCCAACCGGCGACAUGUUUCAAGGAUCUUCAAAUCUUCACAACUUUGUCAAGGCAGCACUGCCUGAGCAGGUGUUAGAUAUUGUGGAUCCGGUUCUUAUUCAAGAAAAAGUGGAAGGGGAGAUGAGUGCAAAUCAGCAUCUAACUGAGGCUAGCACAACAAUUCGCAUGACAUUUGAAGAGAGCUUGAUUUCAAUCUUAGGAGUUGGUGUUGCAUGCUCCGCAGACAUACCUGGGGAAAGGUCGGACAUCGUUGAUGCUAUGGCUGAGAUGUGUCAGAUCAGAAACAAACUUCGAGCAGAUAAAAUGUUGGAUUAGAAUAAGCAUAUUGUUAAGUAUUGGCAUGUACGUAAUAAUCUUGUUUCCUUAUGUGGAAGUUGAAGUUCUCCGAUUUGCUUGAUCAAUAAAAACAGUAUAGUUGAUAACUUGUCUGACAGACUUCAGUCCAUUUACUAUUUUGUACUGUUGCGUUAUACUUAGAUGCAUUUGGCGUAGGGUGAAUUCAAGCUUGUACUUCAUGUGGUAUAUAUUACCAGAAUCUAGAACGAGUAUCAGAUUCGCAUGUCAAGAUUUCGUAAUUUGUAUCUUAUCGAUUUCUUUUUUUAAAGGAAAACUUGUAUGUUCUAGAGCAAACCCAUUCGGUCUUGACUCCCGCAAGGUCUUUUUUAUCUAUGAAAUAUCAGAGCAUCAGGAUCGGUUUGACUCCCAUAAGGUCUUUUUUAUGUUCCUUUGCCUCUUAGUUUAUUACUUCCGCAGUUGAAACUAAUAGUGUGCAUUUCGUAGAUUUUAUCCCGAACAGGAUGGUGAAAGCUGAUAGAAAGUUUCUAUGCCAAAACAAAUUCAUUUGUAUAGACUUAAUUGUUGUGAUUAAUUGUGGGUCAUGUGUUGACAACAACAAUUGAAGACCAUGUGUUUGUUUUCGGUUGUGGCGUGGAAGUCUUCGUUCAAGGAUUGCACGCUAUAGACUACGUACAGCAAAGAGUUUGAAUUUGGCAUGCGAACUAAAGACCAAUUGGUCUUGGUUGUUGGUGUCAGUUUAAUGGGUUGCAGGUGUUAACUAGAUGCAAUAUUUGUGCAUUUGGUAAGCAUCCGAAGGGGAAAACACAGAGGAGAGAAAAUAAGAGAAAAAAGAGUGGCAUCUUGGGGUUGGGUGAGCUCUUGUGAAAUACUGUGAGAUGGUGUAGAAGGGUUUCGGUUUUGAUUUAUGUUUAUUUAACUCAAGUGUAUCUUGCAUUUAUUAUUAUUCUCAGAAUAAAGAGCAAUAUCUCUUUUGGGGACAUAGGCAGAAUUUUGCCGAAACUCGUAAAAUUAACGGUGUCUUUAUUUCUUGUUUAUUUUAUUAUGUUCAACUAUGGUUUGUAUUCUAGCGUUGUAAUUUGAAAUCUCGGCUCAGCAUAGACAGUGGCACAACAUGAUAAAAACUAAUAAUCCUUCAACCAAUAGUAUCAUAGGUCGAGUCAAUGCAGAGAAAAUGAAUACAUUUCUAUACUAUGAAUUUGGACCCACAUAUCAAAGAAAGAGUGCACAUUAUGCACAUUAUAACUGGUCUAGGUUGACAAUGUACUUUGGACCCACAUAUCAAAGAAAGAGCGCACAUUAUCACUGGUCUAGGAUGACAAUGUACGUGACAAUAUAACACGUCAAUCUAUCUAAAUAAAGACUAUUUCCCGACAAAUCCAUGCCCCACUGGUAUGCAAAUUCUGCCAUGACAGAGGGCAAAGAAAACUGAGGAUUAUGAUAGGUGUCAGGAUCCAUCUUAGCUCUACGAUUUACCUCUAUUUCUCUGCCCCACUGUUUGUUUAAUCAUGUAUGUUGUUUUCAUUUGAUUUAUUCAAUCUAAUGGUUAAAAUUAUAGUAAAUCACCUCCCUAUAUUUACGAUUUACCUCACAAUAGUUCUUACUAGAAAAUGUGCUCGCGCUUUGCUACGCAGAUUGAAUGUAUUAGUCGCAACAUGCAAAAAUAAUUUGCACAGAAAGAUGCACUAAAAAGGCGGUAAGAACAAAAUCACACCCUCAAAUACAUCAAUGCAGAUAACACACAUUAAUGCCCUUCACAUAAAUUGCAGGCCAAGAUGCAAAAAAAACAUAUGCAUAUUCCUUGAAGGAAAAUUUCUAGGCCUUUGUUAUAUUAUGUAUUAAAGACAACCAACUCUAUCCCCCAAACACUAAAUUUGUUCACUUGAGUCAUAGUCCUCUUGCAAGUAUUGUAAAACUCAAAAGCUUAUUGUCCAAAACCAGAAACAAUUUGUACCAUUUACAUGCAUGUGCAAGAUAUGCCCUACACUGGAAAAACGUCUAAACUUAGAAUACAAAUUUGUAAUCAAGGACAGAUUUUGUUUUGCAUUUUUAUAAUCAAGUAGCAAGCAAAAUUACAAACAUGCAGCAACCAAACACAGAACAUUUUGCAUGGAAGCUAACCGUAGAGGUCUGUGAAGCAAAUAGCGGCAUGAGCUGAAGCCUCUUGAACAAAUUGGAGGUAGUUUAGCCUCAGUCCUCCGCUGUCAAAAAAAUUACAAAAACAUUGUAGCUUCACUAAAAAAUGCAUGAUGAAAUGGAUACAUAGUUUUCAUGCAGAGAGAGAGUACUUGAAAUCUUUUUAUAGAAUAUGAGACAACUAUAAAGAGAUAUCUCGCAUUACCUCUUAGGUACAUGUAUAAUACACAAAUUUGAUGUGCGCGUAAGUAAAUCUUUUAGGAUUGUCAACUGGCCAAAAUAUAUUGGACAAUAAUCAAAAGAAAGAACUUUUAUUUGGUUAAUUAUUAUAAACUACGGAAAUUUGAGGAGCAGCUUCCGCCACCGUAAAAAAGUAUUGCUUCUUCUCGCUCCAUCCUUUACCAAAUUGUUGGAACUAACGCUCAAAUCUUCCGGUUUAGGAGCUGGUUGUUUUGCAUUUUUCGCAACCCAGUCUUCCCUCAUACCUGAAAGUUCCCAAGAAAGUUAGGAGCAGAAAGAAAUAAUAACCCACACAUUCUCCACAUUGCACAUAAAGCUCAUAAUUAAUUUUAGAAAACAACUUGGCACGAAUAACUGUUUCCCUUUUCAUUACCCAUGGCUACACAAAAGUGUAUAGAGAGUUAACUAACAGGAUAAUGAAUCAGAACAUAGUAGUUGGUUAGAAAAGAUUAAAAACACACGAAGCAAGAAUGUGAACAUUGAACCCUAAACCCCAUAUGAAUACUAUCAGACCAUUCGUAACAUGCAUAAUAGUUUUGACAAUACGAGGACAUUGAGGACAAACUUCAACACUCAUGAAAUCUUAUAAAAUUGCAUUGUUCGAUAAGAAUCAAUUAUGUUUGGUUCUUUCUCGUUGAGGGAGAUGUUACAACCUACUCAGCUUCUUCUUCUUCUUUUUUUUUUUUUUUUUUUUUUUUGGUAGGCUGAGCUGAUAUGAUAUUUAGCAUGACAAAUUAAAUGAAAUUUAAAUAACUUUCAAAGAGAGAAGGCAGCAGCUGAUAAGGUACCCAUGUUUAGAAAGCAAGCUACAAGAUAGUUUGGCAGAUAACCAAAUGGAAUUCCCCAUAAUUUUUUAAGUUCUGCACAUCAUAAUUCAUAUACUUUCAGUUUCCCAUCUAAUGAAGGUAUGGACUGCUUUCCAUUUGGAAUUUUAGCAAGACAAUGUUAUGAUAUUCCUAAUUUAGAAUGUGUGUCCAUUCUAAUGAAUGCAAGCCCUAAAUCAUAAAUAUUGUACAAUUAGCUCUCAAUUACUCUGAUGUGUUUGAGCAUGUGGCAGGGCAUGAGAAUCAAAACCACUCCAUGUUGUUCUCCGCUUCGUGAUUUGAUCAUUAAACAAUACUUCAUUCCCUCCAUCCUUUAUCAUAUCUUCUUGGUGAUCACUUGUUCGUCUCCGAACUGUAUCCACAAAAAAACCACAAAUUAUUCCCAAAAACAAUCAUACAAAAAAAUUGCGGAUUAGAUUCGUACCAUUUUCCCAGGAUGUAGAGCUCGGUGAUGAUUCCCUCCUCGUUUUGCACCUUAGACAUCGAGAUUUUAAACGAGAAACCAAAAUCAAACAAUCAUAAAGAAAUACGACGGACAGAAUCACACUGUAAGCCACCACUCCCUCGCUUCCACGGUUCCACCCACAACACCAAAAACAACAAUAACAAUAAUAACAAUGUACACUCAGACAAAACAAAAAUGCACGAAAGCCCUCCAGUGCUAUAACAGCACUUCUAGGACAACUUCGAUAUCUGUGGACUGUUCCUUUCUCCAUGUUACAGCGAUAGUAUUAGAGCUCUUACAACAUCACAGAUGCAUGACCAAGAUUGUAUUCGACAACCUUUUCUCUGAUCCUUUUCAUCAGUUGGUCCUAAAGAUUCUAUUCUUUUAAAUUCAUCUUCUUUUUCAGUACCAACACACAUUUGUCACUUCAUAUGUCGAACACAAAACACCUAACAUUUUCGAUGACAAACUAGAAGCAACUAAUCAGAAUAUGGGUACGGAGAAUUAAAUUACUCUUUGUACUUAUAGUCCCAAUGGAAACUACUCAUUGAUUCACAAUAUUAAUCACACUAAAAUGCAAGAAAAGCAAAAUCAACAAGCCAUAUCAAAAUAAUAUGAAAAGAUCCCAACAAACCAACCAAACAGAUAACAUUUAAAAACAAAAUUGCAAGUUGGAGGGAAAGAAGCACCAGAAGAUGAAGAGGAAGAAGAAGAGCAUGUUGCAGAAACCCAACUCUGGGUCGAGCUGAGCUUCUCCGCCGCCGUUCUCGCCGGCUCCGAUUUACAUGUCGUCAGUACCAGCGACCUCUGUUUCCCUUCUCUCUCUGCUUACGGGGCAUGGUCUCCCCGAGUCCCACUGCAGCUCAGAAAGAAAGGAAAUGAAAGUCUCUCAAAAAUGACCAUCGCACCCCUGCCUUUCCUAAGGAUUUCGAUGAUAUACAUUUAUAUAUUUGUACAGAUUAUAAUCUACAUCUAUACAGUAAUAAGACGUCUAUGGUAUUCAAUCAUUCCUAAGGAUUUCGAUGGAGCACCAUCGUCAAAAACUUGACAGCAAUGCGCUUUUUCAUUUUUCGGAUUACGAUAUAAAUAUGCCGAUGAUCUUCAUCCGUCGAAUGUUUGUGAUCUCCGUAUGCAUGCUUAGCUUGGUCAGUUUGACCAGUGGCGGUGAUCCUGGUAUACACACAGUCAGAAGCUGCGACGCCACUACUCCCACCAUUGACUGACAGUUCCAAAUUCCCGUCCACCAAUCUAAACAACCUCCUCUCCGCUCUCAACUCCAAUGCCACCAACGAAACAGGCUUCUACGACGCCACCUUUGGUAAGAAACCAACUGAAAUGGCACACGGCUGCUUCCUCUGUCGUGGUGACGUUGAGGUAGACGUUUGUGCGCAAUGCGUGAACGCCGCAAUCCUAAUGGUAGUCCGGAGCUGCCCCACAAGUAAACGGGUUGUAUGGUGGUACGGCAAGAACUGUAUGUUAAGGUACUCAGAUGAGUCAUUCUUUUCCAUUGUGCAAUACUUGCCUGAUUUCAUCGAAACGAUGCUUUCCAUCCAGCCAGUACCGAAAGUUAAUGCAACACUAUCAGAUGAACCAACCGGAUUUAAUCACGUAAUGAAGAGUAUUUUGAAUGAUUUAGUCACCGAGAUUUCCAAGGCUCCUUCCAAGUUUGCAACCAAGGAAGCGCAUGUUGCAGGGUCGAAUAUAUUACGCUGUGCAGCCUUGCGCAGUGCACGCAGGACCUCUCCACUGCAGAUUGCAAUUCCUGUCUUAGGGUAGCCGUAGCACAAGUAGUUUCAACCAAUAAAGGAAUCAAUUGAGGACUAUUUCUGUGUCCCAGUUGUAAUGUCAGGUACGAAACUGUCCCCUUUUACGGGAAACCACCGGUUCAUCAUCUUCAUCUUCGUCCUCCUCCUCAAGGUAAUAGAGUUGAUGAUAUAAAUAUACACAUUUAUAUUAGUGCAUGUCAUGUUGCCGUCACACAAAACGGCUAUGAGAAAUCUUAUCUCAAGUCAACCCUUGGCAUCAAAUCUAAACGGAUCCUUGGAAAACGUUUUCAAACGAUUAUAUUAAAAAACGUGUUCAUGUAUAGGAAGAAGAAAACUAUUGUCAGUAAUCGUCGCCAGUAUUAUUGCUUCUGUUACUGUCUGUGCGGUGCUUGUAGCUAUUGGCUGCUACUUCCCAGGCAAGAGGAGAUCACCACAAAACAAGCAUAAAGUCCAGGGAGAAGAAAAGAAUGGUAAAAAGAAGAAGCAAACAAUUAAAUUCAGUCGAUCACUUGUUCUUUUAUGUUUUCCGAUGUCAAUUACGUGUAAUCUUCUGAUGAACUCAUUAUAAUCACUGCUUAAUUUAAUUUCUUAAUAGCUAGAAAUGAUAUAGCAGCUGUUGAGUCCUUGCAACUUGACUUGGAAACUAUUGAAACUGCACAAACAAGUUUUCUGAUAGUAAUAAGUUUGAUCAAGGCGGAUUUGGUGAAGUUUUCAAGGUAUGGAACUUUAUAUACACAUAUAUAUAUAUAUAUAGACACACACACACACACACACAUAGGUGGGCGUAGCAUAAUUCCUACAUAUACGUGACAUGUAUAUAUAUUUUUCAGCGAACUCUUGGUGUUAAUGGACAAGAAAUAGCAGUAAAGAGGUUGUAGAAAAGCUCGGUGCAAGGUGUACAAGAGCUUAAGAAUGAAGUUCUAUUGAUAGCCAAGCUUCAGCACAGAAAUCUAGUGAAGCUUCUGGGAUUUUGCUUGGAAGGAGAAGAAACCAUACUUGUCUAUGAUAUGUGCCUAACAAAAGUUUUGAUUAUUUUCUAAAUGGUAUAUAAAUACAAUAAUGCAUAUAUCACUUGAAUUGAUCUAUAUAUAUGUGUGUGGUUUGUUUGUUAACUGUCUGUUAUUUCUUACAUAUAUUACUGAUUACUACUCUUUGUUUGUCGAUUAAUGUGAGUAUAGAAUCGAAAAAACGAGAACAAUUGAAUUGGUCAAGACAUUGCAUGAUAAUUGGAGGAAUAGCUCGAGGAAUUCUAUAUCUUCAUGAAGAUUCAAGGCUUAGAGUUAUACAUCGCGAUUUGAAACCGAGCAAUAUCUUAUUAGAUGUUAAUAUGAAACCAAAAAUAUCAGACUUUGGGAUGGAGAGAAUGUUUGGAGUUGACGAUCAAACUGAAGGAAACACGAGAGGAAUUGUCGGUACAUAGUAAGUUUCUUUAACUUAAUUAUACCUCUAUGCUUAAUCUCAAACAACUUAUUUAUAUACCUAUAUAUUGACUUUGAUAACUAUCUCUGAUUGCAACUAUUUUGGACGUAAUUAGUGGUUACAUGACUCCCAAAUAUGCUAUGGGCAGGUUUUACUCCAUAAAAUCAGAUGUUUUUAGCUUCGGCAUACUCUUGCUUGAGAUCGUAACCGGGGGAAGGAACUUUUUAGGCUUUCAUCUCACAGAUACUGCAGCUACUCUUUCAGUACAUGUAAGCAUGAUUAAUUACCUAUCUAUCAACUUAAUUAGACGUGUUACUUUUACAUCCUCGACCGCAUGCAGGCUUGGCAGUUGUGGAAUGAAGGGAAAGUGUUGGAGCUGAUGGAUCCGUUGUAGAAAGAUUCAUGCAGCACAGACGAAUUUUCGAGAUACAUCCAUAUCGGAUUAUUAUGUGUUCAACAAGAUGCCAACCAUAGGCCAACCAUGUCAUCAGUUGCUCUAAUGUUGAAAACUGAAACUAUUAGUUUUUCCGAACCCUAGCAACCGGCCUUCUUUGCCGGAAGAUCUACUGCUCACCGACAUCAAACAAGUGCUCAUAGUUGGUCUACAAAUGGUUUGACGAUUUCAGAAGAUGUCCCGCGUUGAGAAUUUGCUGCAGCGACGAUGGCUUGCGCGAUCAACACACGCCAUCGUCACCAAUCGUAGAUCAACACACGCCAUCGUCACCAAUUGUAGAUAACCAGUCUAUAGUAUAAUGACAAUCAACCAUGUUACAUCAUUUGUCUGGGUCCUGCUUACCAUAUUUCAGAAUGCACUUACAUAGCAUACAAACUUUACAUUACUCCCUUUUUUGAUAGAUUUUAUUUAUUGUCUUUUAAAUUACAAAGAAACAAAUGACAAUUUCCUCGCCGGGAUUUCAACAACUUUCUUAUGCCUAGUUUCUUGCCUAUGAACUCUCCCUACAUACUUUCUGGCUUGUGCUCGUUACUCAAUUACCGCCAACAGGUUUUCUACGAAUACCUGCUCAAUAUAGAUGAAACAAGAAAAUGAGAUGAAGCAGGCGAUGGUAUGUGAGAAAUACAAAUGAAUUUUGACCUUUGAUAUAAUAUUAAACCAUCAUGACAGUUGAAGCAGCGGAUACAAUAUUUAACACAAAUCAUCAUUAUCAUAGAUCAAGAUCAGAUGUUUCCAGCUUCUCUUUUCGGAUUUUGAGUGAGAAAUGGGGAGAAGGUGUUUGGCUAAGAUGGUCUAGAAGUGUAUGAGGAAACUAGAGUCUCAGUGUAUAAGGCAUUCCUUUAGCAGCAAGCAACGAUGACUUGCGACCAACACAAUGAAGAAAGUUGAGAGGCGGAAGAAAGAAUUUUACUGUCGUAUUAUUGUGGCAAAGCUGUUAUAUUAAUUCUAACAAGCUGGACAGAUAAAAACACAACUCUAGAUCCAGUAUCACAUAAGCAUGGGAUCGAACAACUUAACAAGUUGUUCAGAAAACUACAACUUUUAGUGAACAGGCAGAAGUUUUGAACAAUAAAACAUCUCCACAUUGAUGAGCAUAUAAGAAUUAUCCAUGGAAUGAAAUCAAGUAAAAAGCCUACAUGGAUGCAAAUGAUUAUUUAGUCAAUCACAAGCUAGUUAAAUUGUUAUUUUAUGCGUAAACGGAACAAAGACCACUUAAUACGUUCCUAGAAGACCACUUAUCAAUGUCUAGAAAGAGCCUGACCAUCAAUAGCAGUAAAGUUUUCGGGCUCCUUUAAGGAAUACGUACCUACAGAGCUCUUGCUCCAAAGAGCCUGACCAUCAAUAGCAGUGAGGUGCUCGUCAUCAAGGCGCUUCCAUGUUUUGAUUGACUUGACCGCUCCCCAUCCUCCCUUUUGCGUUUUCUCUAAGUUUGCUACCACAACCCUUGCUCUCCGAUCCCAUCCAGCCUUCCCAUAAGCAUGGUAUCCAAAUCCCCCAGCAUAACAAAGGUUUAUGCCAGUUAGCUCCCCGCAGAAGUCAUUGAGGUGAUCGUGACCUGUGAACACUGCCUUGACAUCUCCAGCUGCAACCAUGGUUGUGAAGAAGCCCGAGUUCACAGAAGCAGAGCUGAUGUCUUCUUGCCUCACUCCGGUAAAGUUUGAUGAGUCAAAACUAGCAAAUUCCGGCAAUGGUAUGUGAAAGUAUGCGAGCCCUGGCGCAGGUGCUUUCUGGGGCAGUGGCUUGCUUAUGUAUGCUUUCUGCAGGGGAAAAAAUGGUGUCAUCAGAACUAAGUAGAAAUAAGUUACAUGCUCAAUAUGGAUCUUAAUCAUCACAUAUCGAUCUUGUGCAAGGGUUGAUGGAAAUGACUAGUUUAGGUAUAUGUGAUCCAUAAAAAAAACGGUGAGCAAAAUAACGAGGUUAGUACCUGAAGCUUUGCAGAAGUUUGUUCAACCAAUAUUGUUGGGAGGGUUUGAUCCAACCAUAACCACCGAUGGAGGGAACCGUGGAGUAAUCUCCGCUGUCAAGGAAGUAAAGAUUGAGAACCGAUUUGUUUUCAAAACCAGAGCCCUCAACUCCGGCGACCUCCAGGUUAUAGUUCCCAAAACCAUCAAUAACAUCUUUGUCUAAAGGAUUAACUUGAGCCAGAGUGUUCUUCAACCCAACUAUGUGUUUCAUUACCCCUUCCCUCGAGAGGUCGGAUUCCUGAUCAUGGUUCCCCAGCACAGCUGCCCACGGGAUGUUGGACGCGAUUGCUGGGGCGUAUGCCUCGUUCAAAGAUUUAGCACCAUUCGUGGCAUCAAACCCGAAUAUGUUAUCUCCUGUUACACAAAGUUCAGAUUGGAGAACCAAUCAGAAAGCCGAGUAUCAUGCCUAAAUCAAAACUUUGCUAAACAAAAUACAAUGCUCAUCAGCUAAAACGAUGUACUAUGCUAAACCUAAACCAAUGAUCAUCAGCUAAAUAGUGGACAGAAGAUUAAUCCUAUCCCAAGAACAAUGUAUAGGCAUCAACAACAACGAUGAGAGGGGGAAACAAAUACCGG
rnacentral:lncRNA from 1 species